rnacentral:lncRNA from 1 species
UCAACAUAUCUUUAAAGAUACAACAGUUAGUGUUUACUAAAUAUUUUAUUGCUGUAACAUAAAAGAUACAUCUAUCCAACCUCAAUAUCAAAUGCACUCUUAAUUUGUUCAAACCCCAAAUACUUUAAUUGCACUAUAUCAUAAAUAUCCAUACAAGAUCUCAAUAAAGAAUGACGAUACGACUACAAAUUCUUGUACAAAUUUAUCUUGUACAAAUUGAUUUGAUAUUAAUUCAUUGGUUGAAUGAAAAUACAAAAUAAUAAAAAUAAAUCACGUGGGCAGAAAAAAAUUUAAUUCAACCAAUUUUAUUAUGCCACAUCAGUUUGUACAAAAUAAAUUUGUACAAAAAUUUAUGACUAUAUUAUUACUCCUCAAUAAAAUUUUAGUUAAAAUUAAUAUUGUUUAAUAAUAAUAAUAAUAAUAACAAUCUCAAAUUUUACAAGAGUUUAUAUUUUUCAUGUUGUCAAAUUGACAUGUCAAUUCAUCGAAAAAGGAAAAGAAAACAAAACAAAAAGAGUGAAUCGGUAGAGGAAGAUUCCUUCUUGUCCUUUUCUAAAUAUUUGGGUGGGCGGUUGAAAACUUCCAUUUUCGAUUUUUGUUUUUCACAUAUUGUUUUAUUAGCAUUUAUAGAACUUUGACUCGUGGCUCUGCUUUUCCAAGUUUCUUCUUCUCCCUACACGCUUUCCUUCUAUCUUUCGCAGCCAUUUCUUGACUAACCAUUUCCUUGUUUGCUCUCAUUUCUCUCCCAUUCAUCUCAAAUUCCCACCAUGGAAGAUGCUAACUGUAUGUUCUUGAUGUUCUUGUUUCAUGUUUCUUUCCAUUUCUUUCUUCUUUAUUUUUGCUGACGGGGGUCGUAUCUUUCAAUCUUUUAAUUCUUGCUUGAUUUUGGUAGUUUAUAAAUCAAUAUAUGUGUGUGUAUGCAAUUAUGCAUUUGCCUUAUUUAGCCUUUGAUACUGUUCUUUGCAAAUGGACUCCAUUUAUAGCUGGCUUGCUGCUAAGACAUAUAAAGUUAGAAUCUGGGGUUGUGUUUCUUUUGUUUUCCAAAGUUAACUGGAGACUUUUCUUAUUACUAUUGUUUUUAAACUUCAAAGAAUCUGAGUGAUUGAUAUGAUGAUAUUAUAUUUCUGUUUUGUUCAACAGCGGUGGAAACUAAAGACGGAGCUAUUGCUGUUGCUCCUGCAUUUCCAGGUCAUCAGGAAGGUAAUGCCAAGAUUUAUGUCUAUAUGAUAAAGAUGUUUAAAGUAUUUCAGGUUCAAGCCUGUUUGUUUGUAUAUCUUCCUGGAUUUUGAAUGGUUUAUUGUCAAUGUAUUGAUCCUCGUUAUUGAAUUGUUUUCGUUUGUAUUCGGUAGAUCAUAUUCUGGUUCCCAUUGUGGGGUCUCAAGUCUAAUUUCGACUGCUACAAGUUCUUUUGUUUUUCUUAGUCCUAUCAGCUACCACCAUUUCAUUUUUGGUUAUUGUUUGAUCAGCUGUAAAGGAUAGGGACCAUAAAUUCUUAACAAGAGCUGUUGAAGAAGCAUAUAAAGGGGUUGAAUGUGGAGAUGGUGGACCGUUUGGUGCAGUAGUUGUUCGUAAUGAUGAAGUAGUUGUCAGCUGUCACAACAUGGUAUUGAAUAACACUGAUCCAACUGCACAUGCGGAAGUUACAGCUAUUAGAGAGGUUAGAUUAAAAAAUUUGUUUCUUCUUUAUGUUCUUGUUCUUCUUGAGGAGCUGUCUUUGUGCAAUUGUGCUCAUGCACUUGUGAGUGUCCUGUUUCCUGAACUACAUGGCUAGGCAUAAGUUAUUUUUUGUUUUGACUAUUUAACUCUUAGUAGCUCUUUCCUUCUGUUUGUUAGGUAAGUUGGUUUCUGAAGCCUUCAACUUAGUUACGACAUUUCAAGUCUUAUCUGAUAUAGCCUUGUGAAAGUAAUUGUUUAAAAGUUGAGUUUAUGGACAACUUCUACGAGUUCGUCUUGUAAUCCCUUUUACUACAUGUAUUGUUUACUUAUCUUUUGUUCAACUUCAACAUCAAGCAUAUACAGUGUGUCCAUAAUUGCAUUGGUGGAAUUCUCAAAUGAGGUGUGAGUUUUUUAUUGUGUAAAUCUGGUUGUAAGCACAGUUCCUUCAUCUCUGAAUUGAUCCCGUGAUUCAAGCUGUUCCUGUGAAGACACAUCUCUAAUGCUAGAGUAUACAGCUUGUUUUCUACCUUUUUUUAUUUUAGAGUCAGCAUCGCAAAACGAAUAUUCUUCAAAGGGCAUGCGUGUGGUUCUAAUGGUUGAAAUGAUCUGUGUCUCAGGCAUGCAAGAAGCUUAAUCAAAUUGAGCUCGCAGACUGUGAGAUAUAUGCUUCCUGUGAACCUUGCCCAAUGUGCUUUGGUGCCAUUCAUCUUUCAAGAAUCAAGGUCAGUCAUCUAGUUUCAAUUCAUUUUCCUUUUACUCUCAAGAUGCACCACCUUCUUCCUCACAAACAAAGCUUUUGAUCAUUCUUUCACAUUUUACUUGCAGAGGUUGGUUUAUGGAGCCAAAGCUGAAGCAGCUAUAGCAAUUGGAUUUGAUGAUUUCAUUGCUGAUGCAUUAAGAGGCACUGGUUUUUAUCAGAAGGCUCAGUUGGAGAUAAAAAAGGCGGACGGCACCGGGGCCGCCAUUGCAGAACAAGUAUUUGAGAAGACAAAGGCCAAAUUUCAACUGUACUAAUUUCCUUCACUUAAACUGUGUGAUUAAAAGACAAGACAGUGGAUGCAGUAUGUAGAAACUUCUUAAUCUCUCUGUACAUUGGUCACAUUCUGAAUUUGAUCAUCUGACAGAAUUUUCAUGGUAAUGAAUUUCGUAGGACCGCAACAAAUGCAAACACCGCAUGCUUUCAAUUGACCAUUUUUCGAAAACACUAAUUGAUUUAUCAUAUUAUUCAAUUACUGUAUGUAUGUACUUCACAAAAAUGUAUUUAAAAAAAUCAACAAGACACGAGGUCCAUCUCGGAGGGUUUUGAAAAAAAAAAAAUUGCAUAUUGUUCCUUGCCCACUGUUUUCUGUAGGGAACUAAAAGGAAAAUGACAAACAAAAUAAAUAAAACAAAAAAACUUUAAUAUUUAUUACUGUCACUGAUCUUACAAAUAUAUGCUUGGCUAGGCCGGCUAGGCCAGCUACGCUAGCAGAACCUCUCGUCACAAAAACCUGCUGAUCUUGCUUCUCGGAAUAUAUAGGAUAGUGCUGAUCCCAGGUACAGGAACAAUAAAAAAAAUGGACUUUCCUCCUGUAUGAGUCAAUUUUGGCCUCUGCAGAUGCGAUCAAAACUUUGUCCACUAAACAAGUAAAGCAUAAAAUGAUCAAGACAUCUUAAGUUGAAUUUGUCGAUGGAUGUUUAUUAGGAACUCGACAUAAGAUUGCCCGCCAGUAGGAAUCUUGUCUUCAACCAAAUAUGAGAAGAACACCAUCCCUGCAAUUUAAAUGAAAUAAAUGUAAAUGGAUGUCAGAAUAACUUUGCAUGAUCAAUGAGGAACAAUUAAAGCAAUGCUUUUGUUCAACAAAUUUAUUGUCACCAUCUUACAGACUAUAGUCGAACUUUGAGGUUACAGGAAGGAAUCAAUUAUGUACAGCUAAAUUAAGUUGCAUAUAAGCCUGCGGUACUGCAAUUCUUUCUAAUUAUUUUUAUUGUAAUCAAUUGCUUUACAAGUUAAGAGUGCAGAAGCGUAGGCAUGAAGGGACAUCUACUGAUCCUGAUCUCUUAUGUAAUGAGAGUCCAAUCAAAGUGGACAUUCAAUCAUAUCUUGUUGACCAUUCCAAAUUUUUGGGAUUGCCACUGGACUAUGCAAGUCAUAUGAUAAAGAUUUAAUAUCCAAAAAGAGAGAAAUUUAAGAAAAAAAGAGGAAGAAGAGAGAAGAAAGACAUGCAAGUAGAUCUGAGUAGAUCUGGUGGCCAUGAAAAUACAAGGUCCUGGUAAUUAUGUAACAGGGAUAACAUGGCAUUAUUGUAAACACGUAGUAGUAGCCUUGCAAGAUAGAUAAUUCCCUAAUUAGGACAAAAGAGUAUUCUAAUGCACUGACCUGAAGGAUCUCCUUUCUUGCACAGCUUUAACCUGUGAGAAGAUGAAACAAAGAGUUACCAAGUACUGACUAAUUGAGAAAUCACUAGAAAAUCUAAUAUAGAGUACAAACAAACUGUACUUUUAUGUUCAAGAACCCCUAAAAAAAAAUUAAUAAUAAUAAACAAUAAAUAAAUAAAUAAAGAAAGAAAAAAACUCGUUCUACCGUAGAUAGGAACAUCUUUGGCGUCUUAUCUCAUUUAUUACGUCAUUCAAUUUCUUUGAUAGUGGAUUGUCAUAUUGCUGUAGCACAAACUGCAUAAACAAAUUAUACUUAUUAGUCACAAAAUGACAAGUUGCAUUACAAAAGAGGUAAGAGGUAACAGAAAAUGAUUGAUGGAAGGUGGAAGAGGAAAAGAAGAAAGCUAGCCCAGCAAGUCUAUCAUCCAGAUAAAGAUUGGCCAGAAAAAGUCGUUUUAUUACAGAGUUUAUCCAACAAUCACACAAAAUCAAGUAUCGGGGAUGCUAUAACACACAAUUAUCAAGAUUAAGGAUGGACUAAAUCUGAGCACCAGCAACUACUGGCAUCAAUAUCUACCACAUGAGCCUGCAAAUGAAAAGUUCACGGCCUCAAAUAAAUCUGGUCAAGUUUUGCUACCGUACAAUGUCCAACUUUUACCUAUAAAAUGUUAACUUAGCCAAAUAAGAAAAGCUAGAAACUUUUCAAACUAAAUAAUAUGUAAUCAUUCAGUCUUAAAUUUAUGCUGUAGUCUCCUAAUAGUCCUCUAUUGGGACAGUACUAAACGGAAUAUUUCCAAGUUCUGGUGCUCAGACUUUGGAGUUGGUGAGAAUACAACCUACUAUAAAAUGACAACAAUAAUACUUGUGAAAUGUAAAAUAUUUCCCGGGCAUUAUUAUCAUCAAACUACCUGAGUUGGAACUUCAUCAACCGAGGAUAUGCCGAACAGUUGAUGCAAGAUACUUGAAUCCACAGAGCUCCCAAUAUAUAUUAAAGCAUCCUCCCCAUUCUCAAGAAGAUAGAUUCCCUCAUCACUCACGUGUUCACUAGAAAGAGGAAGGAAUGGAGGAAUAAUAGACCCAUCUUCUCCCUGCCAAUUACAGAAAGUUAACAAAGGUUUCAUGAACAUAUUUGGAAGACCAUAAAGCAUAAAAAGAAGCUUCAGAGACGAAUACCUUGUCAAGGUCAUGGAUAGCCACCAUCCUUGGGUACACAAAUGGAACCGCAAAAGGAAUAGAAACAGAAGAAACAUAAGUUAUCCAAAAAGAUCGAUCAUCUAUUCUGCCAUCAGUUCGCAAUCCUGUACUUUUAAUUAAUGCUGAAGAUCCACAAAAGAAAGCAUUAUGUCAACCCACGUUAUCCUUUAACAAAUGCUCUUAACAAAAAAUACUGAACUAAAACUACUUCCCACAACUUGUAACUCCCCCAUAUUGAGAUUAUGUUUGAGAAUAAUGAGAUUAAUUAGGACAAGAAAUACCCUAGCAACCAAAAAAGUGAAGACCUCAAACUACUGAAAGACAGUAAAAACUUAGGAAACAGUAAUCAGUAAUCUUCGAAUAAUUUCAUUAAACUCAGUUUACAUACUAAAGCAUGUAAGGCAUCUCUAACCAGCACAAUGUUACUUAUGUCAUCUUAACCAAUUUUGUAGAUGCCAAACCUACUAAAAAUUAAACAUACGUAGAUACUUUCAAUCCUCCUAACACAUUCCUAAACAAUCCCACAACAUUAAUGGUAAUGAAUGACAAUAGUGAGGAAAAAAUAAUGCAGGAAUGGAUGUUCAGUUACCAUGUCAAUAGCUCACGUACAAGUAUCAGAAAACAAACAGAAUAUAUAAAAGAUGUUAGCUUUACGCAAGUGCCAAGCACCAUAAUAUAUUCAAACAGCUAAGCACAAAACGAAUGAACAUUAUAGUAUUUACCAAGGGUGUACAAAGGCAAAAGCUUCAGAGCCUCUGGAAGAAUAAGCUGCCCAGAUGAUGAUACUGUUGCACAAAAUUUACGAUAUGAAACCAGAGCAUUUACGCAAAGGUUCAUCAUUUGUUCCCGGACAUUUGCUAGUGGGGUUGAAGGAAUUUCACUUGCCGCUACAAACAGAGUACAAUGAAGAAGGAAAAGGAUAAGCAUUGUGAAACUUUAUCAUAUUGAAUAACUAGAAAAGGAACUCUACAUCUUUUAGGAGAUAAAUAUUCACAUAGCUAGGCAGAAGCUCAUGCACAAGCAAAGAAAGCAUGUGAUGAUGCCAUCAAAUAUUGAUAAAAGAAAAUAAGAAAUAUUAGAACAAUCACACUUAUAUCGUAGAUGUUGAAAACUAAGAAAAAUGAUUAUGCUGCUAAUGAGAUUAGGAAAAUUGUAUAGAAAGUAGAAAGAAGACGACAAAGAUAAAUACACAAAUAGAUAUACCUUGCUUCAUAAAACAUGUAAAUUGAGUAUCCAAGUCAGCUGAACGGUACAGAUUACUUAAAUUACUGGUGCAUGGCAAAGAUAAAGUUGUAACUCGAAUUCGUCUUUGGCCAUAAACAGUGGUAUAAAGAAGGGCGCACUGACAAAUGAAAAUAACAUAAUCAUCCAAUUAGAAACGCUGAUUACAAGAUGCUAAAAGACCUUACAAAAAGCUUCAUAUGCUAAUAAGCAAUGUAAGGAUUAGAAACCAGUGUUAGCUUGUAAAAAUUUAAGCCUUAACAUUCUGACUUAGAGGGGAGAAAAAGUUAAUACCUGAAAAGCACAUUCUGAGCCAUCCUGCAAUUUAUCAUCAUGCUUUAAGGUUACCAUUAUAGCUUUGUUACAGUCAAUCUGCAAAGUAAAAAGGACAACUUAUUGGUUAAAAACUCAAACAUUAAAAUAGCUAGCAAAAUAUGCUGUGUCACUAUAACAUAUAUAAGUAACAGUAGUUGGAGAAUUGAAAUCAGGAAAAAGAAUGAAAAAGGCAAGGUGGAGUGUCAUUAAUACAGUGCAUCGGCUGCACUGAGACUGUCAAAAAGAAGAGAUCCCAAAUAUCAUCUUAACACCCAAUAAAUCAGAUUAAGGAUAUCUCUAAAAAUAAUAGCAAUAACAAUAACAAUAGUGAUACAUCAUGUCACUAACAUACUUUCAAAUUCUAACUAAAUCAGUUUGCAGGAUGGCCCAAAUUAGGGUUGCAUGAUCCAUGAAAAGCCAAUGCUUAGUGACACUAAGCAUUCAUGGAGAAAAGGGAUUGACAUUAUCACCAUAAAACAUAAUGAAAGUCAACAGUUUGACAGAAUAUACAAACCGCAGGUAGGUCAAUGUCUGUUGGAAUCCGUUUGCAGAAGUUCCCAUGGUAUUCUUGGACUUGGAUGCCCUAUAAAAGAAUAUAAGAAAAUUAAUCUACAACAAAAGGCAUUCUGAAAAUGACAAUUUUCAUGUUCAUGAUUGUAAUGAAAGGGAGGGAGGAAAUUUAAAAAAAAAAAAAAGAAGAAAAGUUCAGAUCAAUACCUGGCUGCAUCUGACGCGCAUUACUGCCUCAAAUCCCUGGGGCCUUGUGAUGUUCCAUCUAAGGUCAUUGUACAAUUUUGCAGGAUCAGAAAGCGCUGAAAAUGGGUAGUAAUAAUAAACCUGGAAAAAGAAUGAAACAUGUUAUAUGAAAAAUAACCCAAAAGCACAAGAAAUUUUUUUUUUUUAGAGGGGAGAGGGGGAAAAAGGCAGAAAAAAACAAACAUAUUUAAAUGCUUCAUUUUUCCUUUUUCUUUUAACCCUUUUUCCACUCACAUGUCUACUUAUUCUACAACCUAUGAAUAGUUUCAGUUGAGCACGCUUAUUUUAGCACGAGUAAGAUACGAGAUAAGUAAACAACCCAGUACUUUCCAUGUUCCUUUCAUUAGCAUACUAAUGUGGCAAAGACUAGCAGCAUCAGCUCAUACAGUGAUUAGAACUUAAAAGCCAAUUAUUUUAGGACACAGCACUGAGAAUAUAGGACAAAUAAUUCAAGUCAAUUUCUCAGAAAAGACACCAAGGCUAGAAGAGCCAUUACCUGUCCUCCAGUAGUUUUCGGGAUAACAGAGAUGGAAGCAAUGUCUACAUAAGUCUGGGUAGUGAUAAAAACAUCAACACAGACCUGGAACAUGUUGAAACCAACAAAAAAAUAAACACAUAAAUUAUGCUCAGUUCAAAUAUCAGAUAAUACCUACGUCAAAAUUUUUGUAAGUCUAAGAUCACAAUUAAGAAAUAAAAAAUGACUCAGGACUUCACCUGAUACUCUGCAAAUUCAAUUGCCAUUGCCUUCAAAGUUUUAUCAGCUGGUUGAAGUAACUUAUGCGUCUCCUGAAAUCCAACAAAUGAAAUAUUACUUCAACCUGCAAUCAUAUGAUUAUAAUCUGCUGUUGCAUAUAAACCGGAAGACAAUUUAUUCUGUUGAUACAGAAUAAUCAACGAGAAAACAAAAUUAACUGCUUAACCAAAAAAGUUACAGAAACAGAAAUGAAAACCUUAAUAGAUCUAGGAAUUAGGGGAAAAUCAGAGAAAAGAUCUCUCAAGUAAUUUACGUAUAGCAAUUUUUUCAUUGGUUCCUUCUCAUUUUCUUCCAAUUCACAAUUCACAUCAUGACACAAUAAACUUCUUAACUUCUUUGAAACAAAAACUAGAAGCCAGGCAGCCAGCACAUAACCAUAAAAGAUGCACAAGUUAAACCUUAAAAUGAUUUUAAAAAAACAAAAAGAAAUAAAAAAGAAGUUCUAGCCAAUUUUGAAAAACAGUAUUGGUUUUUGAUCAUGACUUCUGAGGUCAUCUGUAUUUGGCAUAUCUUCAAGCAUCUCUGCAAGCGGAAUCAUAGAAAAGAUCUGGUAGGGACUCAAUAAAUCAAUUUCUUGUGCCCCUUUUUUUUGGAUAAGAAACUCAAAGAUGUAUUAAUGAAGAAGAUUUAAAACAGAUAGUGGACCAGCUGUCCACUAAGAAAACAGAAACUAGGACUAUUUGUGUAUACAAAAGUAUACCCAAUCACCUCCAUACAAGGCUAGAACCAAAUAUAACUCCCUAUCUCAAAACCCCAUCCCAGUUAAAAUGUAUGUAGAAAAAGGAUGAAGAUUUGAAACAGAUAAUGGAACAACUGUCCACUACGAAAGCAAAAACUAGGACUAUUUGCUAGAAUCAGAUAUAACUCUCUUAUCUCAAAACCCCAUCCCAGUAAAAUUUACUUAGAAAAAGGAUGAAUCUUGAAACUGCUUACAAACUAAAGCCCAAAGUGAAGCAAAAAGAUGGACAGUAUCCCGCAGUUCUUCAUUCUGCACUUUUCCACUCCAAAAUAUGAACAUUUUUCUCCUCAAUUUCUUGUGCAAUUAACAUCCUCCUAAUGGUCGGACGACACAUACUUUGGUGAUCUUUGGAGGAAAGAAAGGACAUAACAGUUUCUGGUAAUCACAUCAAGUCAAUGACAACUAUACAAUGCUCUAUGCUUAGGAGAACUUAGUGGAAUGCGCACAAUUGAGUAUUGACUUACGGUCACCCAUUCUCAUCUAAAUGAUAACAAUAUUACAUGCACAAGGAGAUAUCAUAUGCUGUACUAUAACUCAAGAACACACGGAUGGCAGGAGAAUAUAACAAAUAAAUUCAUACCUUUUCUCCUGAUGAGAUAUUGCUUCUUCCUUCAGCCUCUCUAGCAGAAAGGGCUCCAAUACCAACUGAAGGCAAGACUGUUAAAAUACAGAGCAUUAUUAGAAAUUACAAACCAUUCCAAGCCACAGGAUUUCAGUAAAAGAUCCCAAAAGAAAGUGAAUAAGCUGCCCAUAACAACUCCUCCAUAUAACUGAACCAUGUUGCAACAAUCAUGCAUUUGAAUGGAACAACAUCAGGAAACUUGGGAAAAAAAUGUAUGGGCUUGCCUGAUUGAAAGACCAGAAGUUUCCCUCCAGUACUCUUCAGAGCCAAGAAAGCUGCCUGAAAUAGGAAGAAAAAGCCUCAAAGUAUCUGAGAUGUGUAGAAUUUAUGUAUAUGCAUGUUGCAUAGAAUAUUCAAGGUUCUGAUUUAUCUGACAUAUAUGACCAUGCCAGAGAGCCACAUAAGUGAAAGGGCAUAUAUAUUGAUACAUGAAGAUCAAGUCUUAAAAAGAUUAAACAGAAAACUCGACAAAAGCAAAAUAUUUUAUGUAACAUAUUUUUUCUUUUCCUACAUAGUGAUCCAAAAUCAUUUUUCCACUCUUGGAGACCCAGCAAUAACAUAAUGACACAGUAAUCAUUCUAAAAUGCGAUCUCUAAAAUUAAUUAUCUAAAAGUUUUUUCUGAUUUAGCCUGUUUUCAGGUGACAUCUAAACAAUGAUCUACCUGUUCGAGAUUGCACACACAAACACACUCAGACACUCUUAUGGGAAAAGAAUAAGAAAGAAAAAAGGAAGAAAUUGGGAUACCUUGACUGCUGCACCGAAGGCUGACUCGGCAGUUCUGUUGUUCUGAAACAUGCUAGGAAUGCUUUCCAGCAAUAGCUCUAAAUGUUGACGGCACUAUAUCCAUACAAGAACAAACCAAUAUUAGUGGAAGUUAGUUGAAAAUUUCUCAAACAACAAACAUAUAACAAAUUAUAAUUUUAUUAAAUUAGACUUAAAAACUUCUAAAGAUACAACCAAACAGAAUGAAAUGACCCAAAAAUCUAGAAAUCUCACCUCAGAAACUGGAACAAUAAUAUCAGAUUGUAAAGGAGUAUAAACAUCUUCUACAUCAGGGACAAUGAGCAUCAAUGGCUGCAAAAAUAUAUCAAAAUCAAAAUGAGCCAGAAACAAAUUUUACAUGGCACAACCAAAUACUAAACAAACAAAAGUUUAAUAGAUAGGUAUCAGGACCGAUCAACAAGUUGAGGUUGUCGGAGCUAGUUGGUUCAAUAGGUAAAACCUUUUCGGGGGUGAUACAGGAGCUUUAGGGUUCAAACCCCGCUCACAUGAGUUAGUUUCCAGUCAUAGAAGAGUGAAAAAGUUGAGUUUUAUAUAGGUAUUACAAAAUAGCAUAUUGAAUAUCCAAAUGAUGAUUUCAACAUUUGUUUUAUGCGGAGUCAUCUUAUAUAAUAACAACAAAUGAUAGAGUUCACACUUGUGCACCAAAGCGGACUGGAAAAUAGUGUAAAGCAAACAUAAAAGGUAUAUUACUAUACAUCCAGGUAAUUCAAACAUCAAACUGCUUAAUCUAGAGGAAUAAAAAUAAUAUUUCAUUGUAUUUCAUUUCUGAAAGAAAAACAUCAAAUUAAAAGUUUUAAAGAGAAAUAGCGCAAAAUGGGUCAGACCUGCUGUAGCGCACGUUUCAAAUUGUAGAAAUGGAUUGUGGAGUCAAAUGUUGCAAUUCCCACCAUUGUUCGAGGACCUUCCUGCAGCAGCAGAAACAUCAAAUACCAGUUGUUAAAUUGCCCUUAAGUUUUUCAUAUUUACGAGUCAACAGCCCUCGGAAAAAGCAAAUAAGGAUAGAUUCUCUUCUUAAGUAAAAGAAUUCAAUUACAAGCAGAAGAGAAUGACUGAUUAGUGAACAAAAAUAACUGCAAACUUUAUUCACAUUUCGAGUACAUAAACAAACGAAAGUCAAAUAAGGCGUGCUAUGAGAAAAACAACACGAUACUAUUAGUUAUUACCAGCUAGUGAUUAAUUUCCAUCGUCAGCUUAAUAUAGCAUGUAGUUUGGCAAAAACGGCCAAGGCCAUAUCUCAACUAAUGUUUCUGCAUGGAAGUUUUCUAAAAGGGACAAAUGUGGCCUCAAGUCACUGCCAAGUUAAGAUUCUAUCUUAGCUAUGAUUUGACACAGUUCUAGAAAAGAAUUAGGGCUCCACGGCUCCAAUUAGGUUCACAUCAUCCAAGAAAGAGGAGCAAGAGAUAAGUUCAAAUCCAUAUUGAGUUUUCUUCCUCCAUUUAGAUAAUCAGAUAUGAAUUCCAAUGUACAAAACUAAUGUAGAGAGCAAUUGUAUGAUUAUGAAUUCCAAUGUGCUUUUUGAAACAGACUUAUUGAAAUGGUCAAAUGCAAUGGAAAUAGACAAAAACUUACAGGCAGAUCUGAAAUAACUUGACUGAUUGCACUGCAAGCUGCGGCAGUCGCACCAGUCUGUAAGGCAUUCAUGGAUACAUCAAUAAGGAAGAAAAACACAGCCGGCAUGGGAUCACGAACCUGGUACAACAUAAAAAAGAAGAGGGGAAAAAAAUGAGAUUUCUAGUGGCCUAGAGAAGAGAAUACUGUCAUAAAUUACUUUGAUCAUGCAAUAAUUAGAGCAUGAUGUCUCAUACAGAACCACACAUGGCACCUACAAUUGGACACUGAUAAUUUAUGAAAGUAUGUCAUAUUAACUGAUCAUUUUCUGUGGGAGUCAAAAAUUAUGGCAAAGAAUGACCAGAGAGUUGCCAAUCAUGACCUAUGUACUCACAAAUUAAAAAGACUCUUCUACAGAAGUAGGACAAGUAACAAAAGGUGGACAUUCAUAAGCAUCCAAAAGGAUGCAUGUUCACAAUCACCCACUAUGCUUACCAUUAAUGACUCCCAUGUAAUAGAAUAUAACAAAAAUGUUAUGAGAGGAAUACAGUAAGAAAUCAUCUUUUCUUGAAGGCGCAUAGAUUUGAAAACAUUAACCAACCAUAUAUUCCUUUGUGGCAACAAAUUCAACCGUCCCCCUACAUAGCUCGGGCCUGUCAUCAGCAUCUCUACGCCUACCAUCUGGACCUAGAUUGCAGUGAUAAUCACGGGGAGUCUCAUCGGUAAAACCUGCAAAAAGAUAAUGAAAAGUGAGGAAAGAAAGUCACACCCCUCCAACCGUCAAGCAAGUGUUCAGAUGGCAGAAUACUGCCAAAUCGAAAUACUACAGAGGCCUAAAUAUGAUGAGAAGAAUUUGACAUAUUUACAGAGACUCUUAGAAGACAACAACUACAAUAGGAACUUUAUUUUGCACAAUCAUCAAGAACCUCCUCAUGCCAUCAGGCAAUCUAUAGAACAUUAUUAGAGAUAAUGAGGAUCCAAUCAACUUUUCUAGGUCCAUACUACAAGGUCUUUAUAAGCUAACAUUUCAAUCAUAGAUAUCAGACCUAAAACUAACAAACCAAUGUGAAGAAUGAGUAAUAAACCAAGAAGAAAGGGUAGAUUUUCAAAAGGAAAGGAAGAAUGCGCAACAAUAAUAAGUCCUAACACAAAGCAAGAAUGCCCGUUAUAUAAUUAAAACUUUUUCCAUUUGGGGAAUGUGGAGAAAAGGAGAAGACAAUGACCAAUCCCAACCCCAUACACAGGAUUAUGCUGAAUACAAACAACCUUCUAAGGACACAGGAUAGAAAUGAUAAAAUGCAAAAUGCAGCGAUUAUAAAACUGACCACAUAAACUGCAGAUGAACCUCCUUCCCUGAUCAAUGAACUUCAUGAAAGGAUUUAUGUAGGCUUUGCAGCGAGAACAUCGAACAGGACCCAUGUCUCCAAAAUCUACGAUCUAUGACAAGAAAAAAUAUAUAAGCUGCAGGAAACAGAUUCCUUUUUUUGAAUAUAAAAUAUUAGCAAGCAGAUCUGCAGAUGCAAUCACUUGUCGGAACUUACAAGAGGGGUGAGUGACUUGGCAUAAUUUUAAAGAGACAAUAAUUAUCCCCUCAUUAAAAGAGUGGUGUAUUCAUUGAACACCCCUCCUCAAAAGGAAAUAAACAAAACAAUAGUUACUUUGAGAAGCAAUUUUUCCCUAGCAAACAAUUCAGUUAUUGAAAGCCUAACAUUCCCAGGAGCAAAAUAACUGCAAAAACUUUGCAUAGAAAACGUCAGGUUCUCCCCAAAUUGCCCAGCACUAACCCCCAAAUUUGAAGAAAAAGGCUCAGGAAAACCAUGGACUUCACACGUAAAUUUUGAUUCACUAACCAAUGAAUGCAUAUAUUUCUUUUUCUCAAAAGAGGAAAAAAUAAAAAAUAAACUGAAGCUAUCAGAUUUACAAGUGUAGGAGAAGAAAUGUAUCAAGCAUUACUUGGAUGGGCUCCUCAGAUGGAUGAGGAAGAGCCAAAGGUUGGACCAAUAAAGCCAACUGCAUGCCGGAUGUUGUCAGAAGGUCAUUAGUACAUGGAAUCUGUUGGAGAAAUAAAUCCUUAUUAGUCUAUAGUGUCAUUCAAUGAUUUAAAAUAGUAGUUCAUAAAUAUAUUAUUCAAUACAAAAUGAAUUCAUUUAAAUACUCAAAACUAGAUUCUAACCUGGCUAAUGGUGCAUCUCAUGUAGCGUGGACUGCAAUUCCCCAUGUCUCUAACAAUGUAUUCACUUGUUGCAGGCUUUACAAAUAUCAUAGAAAUAAUUAGCAAAGAGAAGUAUUUAAUUAAUUUAAAUAGAGAGAGCAAAACAAUUUUGAAUAAGAAAAAAAGCAAAACCAAGAAAAAAUUAGCAAUUAUUUCUUCUUAAAAUUCAAAACCAAAUUAUGUACCGGAGGAGGAUUAGCCUGAUUUCCUUCACGAGUGUCAUACAGGACCACCGUAGAACUGGGAACAGGCCGUGGAAUUUGUUGAGGAUCAAUUUUCGAUGAUGCUGGCAUAGGGGCUCCAGUUUGACCCAUUGCAGGAGGCAUAUUCGUCAUAGUUUGAGUUUGUAAUGGCGGAGGCAUACCAAACAUUCUAGAUGGUUGGGCUGAACCAGGAAUUGAUGAUGAUGGGCCAACCUAAAGCAACUCAAAAGUUCUAAAUCCAGAUCAUUGAUCAAAGAGAAAAGAAACAAAUGCAGAGUCUCAUACAUUUUGUACUUAGUUAUAUGCAACAAAUGCUCAUGUAGUUUUGCCAAAAUGUUAUAUAUGUUAAACAGGUAAACAACCCUAACUAGUAUGACAGAGCAAACAUAAAUGCAAAUCAUCAUGAGGGAAACUGAUCAUAACACAUAAAUUCUCAAAAUCCAAAUAGAGUCCAGAAGCAAGUUUGGGUUUGAGUAAAACAAUGAGAAAAAUUUUAAUGCAGGGAACCACUAGGACAAAGAUCUCUGGAUAUAGAGCAAUAGGUUGUAACCAGAUGCAAGCACUCUCCUUCCUUCUGUAACUAUUUCUUGUAAGAAAAUUCCCUAUUUUCUGUGGAAGAAAAUAAUUAUCUAUGACAUCUUCUAAUUUAUGUGUCAUUGAUUGAAUUUUUUCCCGUCUUUCAAAGAAUAUCACUUGCCUUCUUGUGUCACCAUUUAAUGUGACCAUGCAUAAAGACUACAAACUAAUUCUGAAAAAAUACCAAACAUAAUGCAAAUAUUCUAACUCAAUUUUCUUACACUAUAAAUUUUAUCUUAAUAUUUUUUCAAAAAUCAAUUAGAAGUUCAGAAUACUCAUUUUAAAUUAAAGAACAGAAAAACUAACAGCAAUUGACGUCAGCAAACUUACAUAGCUACAUAUCGCUUAGGUAAGACAGCCUUACCACAACAUGAUCUGUAAUUCAACAACCAUAACUUUAUUUUAGAAGUCCAAAGAAAAGAAACAUGAAUUUUUAAAGCUUACCGGCUGAGCUGACCAUGUAUGUGCCCCAAAAGGCGAAACUUGAGGCGGUCCUUGAGGAGAUGGUGCAGGAAAUGAUGGUGCACCUGAAAAUGGUGGUGUGCUUUGAGGAGCUGCUGAGAAUGGUGGUGCGCUUUGAGGAGCUGCUGAGAAUGGUGGUGCACUUGAGAAAGGUGGUGCAUUUUGAGGAGCUGCCGAGAAUGGGGACUGCUGCACUGGAGGGAACCGCAUACUUGGAGACUGCUGAGGAGAUCGAGCUGAUGUCAGCAUUGAUGGAGGACCAGCAGGUGGUGUCCGGGUUUGCUGUGCACCACUACCAGCUGGAGGAAAACGUGGUCCACCAGAAGCAGCAAAUGCCAUAGGCCCAUUACUUGUCACACCAUCAGAAGCGCCAGAAGGGGCAACAUUCAAACCACUACUGAAAGGCAAAGAAGAUGCAAGAGGAAACGGUCUAGCUCCUGGGGUUGCGCCAACUGGUCGAGUCAAUGAACCUGAAGAUGGGAAAGCACUGGAUGGAGGCACUCCAGAAGUAGGAACCCCCACAGGGCCGCCUCCACCCAUCGAAGAGGGAAAAGACCCGGGAGGAGGUCUGGAACCGAAAGGCAAAGAUUGGCCCACAGGUGGCCCGAACGGUCGCACUGGAGCCACAUUUGGAGGAAAUGACUGUUGCGGGGUUCCUGCAGGUCUUGAAAGUGCACCAGGUGGUGGUGGGCCAGGGCGGGACAUUGGUGGUGAAGGUGCUGUCACAGGAAAUUGUGGUGAUUGAGCAAAUGGGGUCGGUCUAGGGCCUGAAUUGGGCAUCGAAACAGGUCUGUUUAGAUUUAAAUUCUGGAAAUUAUCAGAUAAUGAAUUAGGGUUUUGUUGUAAAUUAGGAUUGUAGUUUGGCGGCGGCGGUGGUGGUUGUUGCCUUGGUGCCCCUGGAGGCACAGAAGCUGCCAUUCUUGUGAUCUAUCAAGCUAAACUUUAAACUUCUCCUUGUUUAACUAAUAAAAACCACUUUAUCAACCUACCAACAACGAGAAUCCAAACCCACCAUCAUCAGUAAUCAAUCACACCUAACAAUUUAAUUUUUUUUUCUCAAAAUUUUACAGAAACGCAUAUAUCACAAGCAGAAUAUCCCAAGAAUAAUCAAUAAAGCAACAAACUUUAUAUCCAAACAAAAAUCAACCGAUCAGCGAAAUAAACAUACCACUCGAAUUAAUCGAAAUUCACAUGCACAAAACAGAAUUCUUAAUGCUUUCAUUAAUCUAAAACUCAAAACAAUUAAAAAAUAAAAACUUUUAGAUGAGAGAUGUAGAAGAGAGAAAAACCUUUGAUGGGUUGAGCUCGGAUCUGCUAAUCUGCGAGGAGUGAAGCUAGUAUUACAGAUCUGUAACAACUGAUGUGAGAAGAUUUGGGAAGAAAAAAGGUAACUCAGUUUUGGAUCGGCAAUGAGAGAUCACACAAGUGGGUAUUCUGCGAUUUACGAUUGAAGAAGAAGAAGAAGGGCGGGUUUGUCUAUUAACGGUUGCGGGUUUCGAUGUGUUGUCCAAAAUAUUUUUUUUUUUUUUAAAUGAUAAUGGUUAAAUUUUUAUUUUUUUCCUUUUUCCUGAGCGAAGUGCACUGUGUGUAACAUGCGUGACUCUGUAACAGUUGUGUCAUUAAAUUCAUAGGAGUGUAAAAGGGCUCGUUGUUUAAUCCACUCAGAGUUUAACACGUAAGCUUUUGUUUUCCACGUCAGCGUUGGCCUUCUUUUUUUUUUUUGGGGGUUCUUUAUCCUUUUUUUCGUUUAUCUCGAUUGAAUUUUUUAAUACGAUAAUUUAAUAAUUUUUGAUAAAUAUGAAUGAAAUGGAAGGGAUGACCGGAUGAGGUUGACUAAAUUUGUUUUACAUAAUUUUUGUUAAUUUUUUAUAAGGUAAAAAAUCUCUAAGAUGAGAUAAUUUUUAAAUAAACAUAGUGACCUGCAAAUAACAUAUAUUAUUUGAUUACUUAGCAUGAGUUUUUCAACUCUAGUCCAGACAAACAUUUGGGUUAUAUUUAUUAAAAAAAAAAUACUUACGUUUGUGGGGUGGUUUAAGAAAUGUGGGCUUCCAAUCCCACCCCAAUCAAGAGGUAAGAGGGAUUUAUUAUAUAUUUGUGCAAUAAUAUAUGAAUAAUUUAUACAAUAUAUUUUGAAACUGUCAAGAAUGAGUCAACGUUACAAAUCUGAGAUUCUUUAUUAUAAAAAGAAAAAUUAACCACAAAUGAGGUUAAUCUAGGAGCAAAUGCAUUGAAGGGUGGGAUUGAAUUAAGAAAUUAUGGAUUUACUUUUUAAUUUUUAACUUUAAUCGGAUAGAAUUGAAUGUAAAUUUUAUGUACUAAAUUAUACUCGUUCUUGUAUCUUUGGUCCAAGGCAAAUGAGGCUGUCAACAGGACAAGUAAGUAAAUUGGAUAAUUUAGUUCCUUGCUAUUUGAUAUAAACUAUUUUUGUUCUUGUUGUCGUACAUCUCACGUGUGGAAAGGAGUUCGAGUCUCCAUGUGUGUUAUCAAGAAAAGAUUUUCUUAAGCCCACAUAUCCAAACCGCGCCGCUAUAGAAUUGUUCAAAGAGAUCAUAUCAGCACAUUUUCAAUUGUAAAUGUGAAUAUGUAUAAUAAUGAAAAACAAAAAGAAAAAAAUACUUCUUAUCAUCUGCAGCACACACUUUUACAUGUUUUGCAGCUGCACUUGAAGAAGAUAAUGGCAUUUGAUCUUUGGUUUUCUUUGCUUUUCAACCCAUUCUAAAGUGAGCAAAGACAAACAGUACAUAGUCCUUUAUUAUCUCGAAUGCCAGAAACAAAUAUAUCAUAUAUCUCAUAGGUUCAUCAAAAUUUCAUAAUCCACAAGUUUCAGGCUGCAUAAAGCUAAUGCAUGUCAGUGGUAAGUCGUAAUAAUAAACCCGCUGCCACGACAUGAACUUGACAAAUCUAAUAUGAAUAGAAAUUAGAAUAUAGUAGAUAACUUGUAAAAUCUAACAUAGAGGUUGAAAUCUAACACGACACUUGGGAAAACGUAGUGACGUAUUGUAUUGAUAACUCAACCUAAAGUUUCCAAGUUGUGAGACAAACAGCCUUCAAGCUUUUCUAAGCUUUCAGGUGCAAGCUGUGUCAUGUAAGAUAGUACAUUGAAUAACUAAUAAAGCAAACAUAGCCAACUUACCACAUAGAUUUCUGGUCAUUAGACAAUUCCAUAGCGAAGUACAUCUAGCUGAAUGCAGAAAUAUUAUGCAGUAUACAGCAUAGGUUUAGUUUGUGCCAAUCAUAUAGAACUCAAUUUAUGAUUGAACUGCAACAAAGUUUCAAUUACUUUCUCAUUCUAUCUUCUAAUUGAAUCAUCUAAAUAAAUAAUGUUCCAAGAUUUAAGUUGAUAUGAUAGCAAUUCGAAACUACACAUCAGAAGACAAAAUUGACAAACAUUAUGAGAUUCACUUCCUUACUUCUAACAGUAUACUGACUAGUGACUAGUCAAGAUAGCAGGGCAUAGAAAUUCCUGAAUACAAACAAUAAACAUAAGCACUGUCUCAAAUUACAAGUUAAAGAUGGAGAGAGUGAAUGACAACUAGAAUGAAGACCAAGGUAGGUAAAAUGAAAUGAACACUCUGAAAAACUUAUUAAAUUGACCCGGCAAAAUUUCAUUUAUGCGUGACAUACAAAUAUCGGCAAAAGCUCUUUUUCAUGGUUUGCAGAAAAAUAUAUAUGCUCAUUACUUGUCUAUGAAUGUACUUGCGAUGUGAAGCUAUACAACAGGGUAAAUUUUUCUUAAUCUCAAGUCAGUAGCAUAACAAUUGAAAGAUUUUACCAACAAAGAUAGCUAGCAUUCCCUUUAAGAUUUUAAACUAAUAUCAGGCCAUAAGUGACACAAAAUUAGUAAAAUAGAAAUCAAAUGCUAAACCAAUACAGUUGAAUCAAGUUUUUUUUUCGAUCUUGAAAUUUGAAAUUUUGAGUUAUUACUAACUUAAUCAUUCUCCAUUGAUUGUUCUGCAUUUUGCAAUGAAUAGCAACGCGUAUGCGCAAUAAACCAAAUCUAGAUCACUUGAAUUGCAAUUUGGAUAAAACAAAUCAUAGAAAAUAAAAUACCACCAAAUACAGUGGUGAAUAUUAGAGCUUUUAGAAUCAAUAUAUAUACAUCACCAUUAAACUAAUCAUACAACGCACAAAUAGACCAAAAACGGCCAACUUCUCAUUGCAAAAAGUAACCACCCAAGAACAAUAAGAAGAAAAACAACAAGCUACCAUAUAUCAACACAGCCUUCUGGCCAGAGGUGAGGGCAUUGCCACCAAGUCCAAACUGCUGAUUCUCAGCAAACCCCGCAAUCUCAACACUCUUACUCUCGAAAAAGCUCUGAGCAGCACCACAAGUAGGGCACCUCCAAUCAUCAGGCAACUUAUCAAACUGGAAGCCAGGUGGUAUUGGAUACGAAGGGUCACCAACUGCUUCAUCAUAUUUAUACCCACAAGACCUACACUCAUAUAUACCCGUAUUCAAGACUGCAAAUUUCUCUUCUAAUCGACGUUUAUCAAACUUUUCAUCUUGCUCUUCUUGUGCAGCAGGAGCUGGGGGAGGAGGAGGAGGAGGAGCAGAGGCAUUGGACAGUUGUUGCUGCUGCUGCUGCUCAGAAGUGGGCUUGUCUUCUUUCGAAACAUCAAUAGAGAGAGUGACAAAAUGGAGUUUUGAGGGUUUCUUUGGGAAGAAAAGAGGGGAGAUGAAGUGGGGUUUUGGUGGUUUUGAAGGAGAAGCUUGGGAGAGGUGAAAAGAGAAGGUGGGUCUUGCUGUUGCAGAAGCCAUAAAUGAUGAGUUUUGUUUUCUGUGUAUGGCUUCAAAAUGUUUGGUAUUUUGAAAAUGAAAGGACCGAAAUUUGGAGUUCAGGAUCUGUUGUUGUUGUUGUUGUGAUUAUGGGUUGCGGAGGAGAAAUGAAUAGGAUCCAUGGAAGAAGAGAAUAUGCUUCUUUCUGGAAGAGAGUUGGAUAAGGUGAGCAUGUGUUAGAGAUUUGCAACGUGGUGCACUUUUAUUAUGGGUCGGGUUAUAGUCAUUGGGCCUAGAUCAGAUUUUAAAACUGGGUUGAUGAUAAGCGCAUAUUAAACCUUUCACUUGAAGACUAAGAUCUUCUCCUCAUUUGAUUUUUUUUAAAUAAAUUUUAUUAUUAAUAGUUAAUAAAUUAAAAAGUAAAAAUAGUUAUAUUAUAAUCAUACAGUAAUACUAAAAUACAAGUAGCACAAGAUUAAUAAAAAAUCAAGAGUACUUAGACCAAAAGAAAAUCUUAUUUCCUUUACUGAAAUGCAGAGGAAUAUUCUGGAAUUAAAAGCUAAUUAAUACAAAAUUAAUUAAUUUGAUAAUCCUGCCUGUCUAGCUAGUAUAUAAAACCAUUGACAAAAAUUGUGAGACUGAUUAAGGCCAAGAGGAAGCACUGAUUAAGGUACAGAGUAGAAUGAAGGCCGCCCAUAUAUGUCGCCAACCCGCAUAUGUAGCCAAUCACAUAGGAAUAAUAAAGGCCAAAUACUUUGAAAGCAAGACAAAAAGUACCAAUAAAGUGUUGGCUCCACUGGCAAUGGAGUCCCCUUAAGUGGCUUGACUGGGUUUGCUCCCCAGUUCGAGUCGCAGGGAAGUCGCCUUUGUUGGGAGAACCUGUGCCUCCCGGUUCGAGCGGGGACUUUUAGUCUGGGUUGUGGUACGGGCUUAAAGGUGCCUCCCACAGUUGGGGCCCUCCCCAGGAUACCUCGUGACUAAUAUCAAAAAAAAAAAAGGAAGACAAAAAGUUGAUGACGAACAAGAACAGAGAGCUAUAUAUUAGUAGUAACAGACAGAGGGCUAACUGCUUAUUUUGGCUUGUAUUUAUGUAGCUUUUUAUUUUAUUUUUUUAGUCCGAAUCCUAGCUUGGAAAGGUUUCUUAUGAGAUUGAUAUUUGCAUUUUGACGGGGGACGUCAUUUGGAAACAAAUGAAGCUUCCUCAAUCCUUAAUCUGUUUGGGUAAAUUCUUGCAUAUCUUUUUUGCUAGAUUUAAUGUUUUACUUUAAAAAUUCAUUGACCGAUUUCGAUUAAAUUUGAUCUUAAUUGAUUAAUUUCGAAACAUAAGUCUAUGCUACGCAGUCCAGUCUCUAAUUUGAAUUGAGUUCUUGAAAUUGAUUAAAAUUCUCUGUGCUACUGGAGAUCUUGACAAGAAAAAUACAUUUCUUGCUCUCUUCAUCAUGCAGAAUGAUUGAGAACCGCUGUAUGCAGAACAGAAGAAAAUGGCUUAAAAUUAAAAAGCAAUAUAUCCAAAGAAGCGACAUUGAUACAAAGAGAUAUCAUAUUUUCAGCCACUUAGGCCUGAGCCUGGCAGACUUUUUCUCAGCAGCAGGUUUGGGCUCAUCGUGAGGCUGCUGCUGAUGAUCAGCAACGACUUGCAAACAACCUUUCAAAGACAUGACAUCUUCUCGAAGGAAUGGGCCUGGAUUAGCAGCAGAAGCAUCAUCAUAAGAAAAAUAGACAAUGGCACCAGGAAUAAAGCCAGCCGAGUAAAAAUCCUGGGACAUGUCUUUUAUUAUCCUCUUGGGAGGAGCAGUGUAUAAAUAGAACGGUACGUCUGUCCGAGAAAGCACCCUCAUCCUGAGAAAAUCAACCAGGCUCUGCAUUGUCUCUGACGGAUGGAAAUUGACCUCUAACGUGUGAUUAUCAGGAAACCUGACUCUGAUAAUUACUGCCUUUCUGAAUUUUGACCUGCCAGUGCCAGCUGCCUCCUCUGCUUCCCGAAUUCUUCUUGUCUUCAGGAAUUUAUUAUCUUCCUUUUUCUUAUUGGCUGCGAGUAUUCGAUAGUAAUCUUCUGCAGUGAACUCAUAGAAUUCAUCAUCAUCAUCAUCAUCAUUAUCAUCAUCUGUCUCGUCGAUUCUUGGUGAUGAUGAAAACUGCCCAGAUGUUUCAAAAACUCGGAUUUCUCGUCCAAACUUUUCUUUUGUAGCAGCAGCAAGUUCAAGCUUUGGCGAUGAACUCUCAACAGACAUUUUUUUUUUCUUCUUUAAAUGCCACUCGAAUUAAAAGACGAUUGCAGAGAGAAUGCGAGAAUUUAUGGAAAAUAAUUGUUGUGCAGUGUGCUGAAAAGACGCACGGCUUUUAUAGAUAACUAGGAAACAAUUCCCAAUCCUAAUCUGAUUAUGACAAUAAAUGGAAAUAGACAUAUAAAUGGAAAAUUUAAAUUAUUACAUCAUCAAAAUAAAAAUGAAAAGUUAAAAAAAUUUAAAUCUUCAAUUACAAUAUUUAUUUAUUUAUUGUUAAAAUUGACAUGGUUUCGGUUGUACUUAUAUUUAUCAAGAAUUGAAGUCAGCUUUGUAUGCAAUUCAUGGAUGCAAUAAUUAUCUAGCAUCAAUCAAGAGACGUCGCACUAAGUUCCUUUUGAAUGUUUAUGAGCAAAAUUUAGGGACGGCAAAAAUUCCCACCGGAACGGGUACUUUCUGAGAUUUUAUUUAUUUAGAAAGGGUAUGAGGAUAAUUUCAUACCCAAUUUCUUAUUCAGAGAAGGGACGAGGUAAUUUUUUUAUCCAAUUUCUUAUUCAGUGAGGUGACGGGGAUGAGGUGGAAUCACCAUCCCCUACCCAUUUCCCCAUUUUAAUUUUUAAUUUUAUUUUAAUUUUUUAAAAUUACUAGUAAGUAAAUAAUAAAAUUUAAAUUAUAAAAUUAUAAAUAUUGGUAAAAAUAAAAAAUAUCAAAAUAUUUAUAUUAUUAAACUUUUAGGCCUAAUUAAUUAAUUAAAGUCCUAAAUUUUUAUUUAGGACAUUAAAAAGACCGAGUAGAUUCUAUUAGCCCAAAAUUUUUUAAUUUUAAUAUUCUUUAAAUAUUUUAAACUUAAAUAUAUUUUUUAUUUAUUUUUAGAUGUUAUAAUUGCCCACAACGAAUCACAAUUUUAAUAUCUAAUCUAAUCUAAUCUAAUAUUUGCUCUUGAUUUGCUCCGAUUUAACUAUUGUAUUGUAAAGGGAAUAGUCCACAUUUAUAAAAUGCCUACGCCACCAUUGAAAAAGUUAAUUUUGAAUCUAAAUUCGAUUUUAUUUGUAACAAUUUUGUAUUAGACUAUUAAUUUGUUUAUGAUAGUUCGUAAAAGAAGUUUGUAUCCAUUGCAUGUUGCGUUACUUAUUAAUUUAAUGUAUGUGACUUUUGUAAUGGAUAUUCUGCUGUACCGUACAUCCGCCUUGGUGUUGCGUUACUUAUUAAUUUAAUGUAUGUGACUUUUGUAAUGGAUAUUAAUGUAAGAUAUAUUUCGAACUUUACUUUUAUUUUAAUUUUUAAUUUUAAUAUGAUUAACUCAAAAAAAAAUGUAAUAGUUAUUCGGGGAUCGAGGACCCUCGGGGAUCCCCUGUUAUUAUUUGGAGAGGGGAUGAGGAUUCUCUCAAGUAAUUCUGACGGAGACGGGGACAUACGCAAAAUAUCGGGGAUGGGUACGGGGAGAUUGGUCCCCUCCCCUCCCGUCCCCAUUGUCAUCCCUAGUAAAAUUUAUGUCGUAAUUGGGGUGAGAUUCUAUGCACUUUAAAAUUUAUUUUGAAUUUUAAAAAUUUUUUAUCUUUGUAAAACAUGGAGUCUAUGUGAGAUUCUCUCACUCACAAACAUCACAUUUAUUGUGCAUGCAUGAAAUAAAAAAAAUAAAAAAAUCUAGUUUCACACAUUUUAUUUUUUCUAACCUCUAGCUCAUCAUAUUUUCUUUCUAAACUGAAUGAUUUCUCCUUACGACCUCUUAAUAUAUUUUUUAAAAAGAUUUAAUAAACAUAUGUGAUAAAAUGUUGGAGGAAAUUAAAACAGCUCGUUGAAAGAGUUAAUCUUUCACCCUUGGUCGAUGGCUUUCAUAUCUUGUUUUGAGUGCAUUCACCUGAUACUUUACUUCCUCUUUGAUUUGAAAUGAAACAUUUUUCUUUUUAUUCCGCAACUCUUCAGUUUCUGCUUGACUGGCUUGGCAUAAGGAUAUAAAGAGAUUUUAUGCUAAACUAUGUAGUUUAGGCAUAUCAUGUUUUUUUGUUUUUUUGGUUAUUCGUUGUUUUUUUUGGUUAUUCGUUGUUUUAGGUGAGUUGAAUAUUUCAUAAUUUUUGCAGAGCAAAUAAAAAAUAAUUGAUUUAAAUGUUUAAGUGGGGGGAUCUUUUUGCAGUUGAGAGAGUGUGUAAAUUAAAAACUAAAAUUUUUAAUUCAGUAUUAGAGUAUCCAAAAUAAUUUUAAAAUACAAAUAGCCUCACCCUUCUUAAAUUAGUGAAUUCAAAGUGAUUAACAAAAUUCUAGAUUUGUUAAUCAUUGUCUCUUCCCUCUAUGUAUUUCCGACAAUCCAUAUUGUGAGCUAUUCCGAUUUAUUUUCUCUCUCUCUUCAAAAUUCUGAUGAUGAUGAGAAUUGAGAAGAUGACGAGAGACUUUUUUUUGCGGGGGGGAAGCUUAUGAAAAUGGCAAUGGAUCUCAUCUUGUGAAGUGGGAUAAGGUUGCAAGGCCUAAAACGAGAGGUGGUUUAGGAAUUGGCAAUGUGGAAAAGAAAAGUAGAGUUCUCUUAGCAAAAUGGCUUUGGAGGUUUCCCUCGGAGAGGACCUCUCUUUGGCACUCCAUUAUUCGCAGCAAGUAUCCAAAUGGAUGGGAUGAAAACAUGGUAAAGGAAAGGCUAUACCUAAAGAGUAUCCCACUUUUCUUAGUUUUUUUGCCUUAGAAGUGGGUAAUGGGAAGGCUAUUCGUUUUUGGGGAUAAGUGGAGGGGUAGUGGUUCGUUGUGUGAGAAAUUCCCCCACUCGUACAGGUUAUGCCUUUCUAGGAAUAUCUCAAUUCUCUUUAGCAUAGCUCUCUGCUCAUUAAAUUAUGAAGAAGUGAUGCAAAGAAAAUUUCUUAAUUUUUGUCUCUCUCCUUAUUGGUGUGUUCUCCUUAUUGGUGUGUCAUGUGUAAGAGAAGCGCAGAAACUUCACGUCGUAUUUUUCUUCCAGGUUCUUGUGAUUCGAUUCUUACAGAGAAUUCCUUUGUUUUGGGUAGAGGAGCAAAGGCUAAAAGUCUUUGUAAAUGUGCACUGGCAGCACUGUUUUAGAUAAUAUGGGAGGAAAGAAAUGUUCCUAUCUUUAAGGAGAAAAGUGUAGAUAAUACUGAAGAACUAUGCAAUAAAGUUCGUCUUUUUGCUUUACUUUGAACUUCAGUUUUUAAGGAGUUUCAAAAUUCUUCCUUUUUCUUCAUAUAUAUAUAAAUUGGAAUGGAAUUUUGAGAUAAGAAGUCAUACUGAUUCUAACCUUCUAUAUGGGCGAUUGAGUGUACUUUUCCACAGCACAAAUAAUGCUAGUCUUUGUUUUUUGAGCAAACGGCUGGUCCACUAUCUGUUUUGACAUCUUCAUUAUUGAUACAGUUUUGAGUUUCUCAAGGAAAAUAAUAAUAAUAAUAAUAAUAAUAAUUUUUCCACGUAGUUAGGCUUGAUGCAUAUCAAUGUGGCAAGGAAACAACUAGACUCUGGCGUUCCAAUGUCAUUUGUCACAGUUUCGAGAACCUUUUGGUUAUUGCUUCACGUAAAAGAAUAUGCAUUGGUGCCUUGGUGGAGCAAUAAAUAAACCUUUUGUGCAAGUAUGAUCCAAUUGUAAGUUGCGGAUGUCUUACGAUUUAAUUUCGCCAUUUGGCCUUCAACAAGAGAAGAUUUAACUUACUAUAUUCCAUUACCUACUGCCAUUUAGAAACCUUCAGCUGCGAUGUAGCAAUAUCCACCGAAAUAUCACAUAAAACGCCAAUCCAAAAUUGACAAUAGAAGCACCCAAAAUUACUAAAGUUGAUGACAUUUUCAAUGGUUAUCGAGAUGAAGCCUAAUUCUUUGGUUAAAGUAUAUAAGCUUAGGAUACCUCUAGGCUGUAACCAUAGUACUCAUGACCUAGGCUAAAAAUUAAAUCAUCAAAGCUUAUAAGCUCCAAGUUUUAUCAAACCUUGUUUCCCAAAAAAAAAAAAAAAUAAAAAUAAACCUUAAAUUUUCACUCACAUCUGGUGGAUUCAAGCUGGAGCUGAAAGAAAAACCAAAGCUUUGGUAAAUAGAAGCACGCAUGUCUAUCAAUGAGACAACACCUAACCCCCAAAGUAUAAUUAUGCUUUAUAAGCCCUUUUAACUCAGUGAUGAUCUAAGAAGUUCUAAACUUUCGUAACACCACAGGCUCAAUCCAUAUGGUAAAAAACGAUUCAUCUGCCGGAGAGGCACAACACCCUAAAAGAUGAUUUUAUUCCAUAAGAUCUAUUAAUUUAGAAGUAAUCCCACAAGUUCUAACUUAACGCACAUCACUACAAGCUAUGUGCAAAUAUUCAGCAGAUUUCAGCUGUAACAAGGCACCUAAUGGCUAAUGCUGUGCCUAUGUACUUUAUUGCUUUUCCAGAUUAAAUAAAAGAAAUGAAUUAUCUACCCCGAAACCAUUAUAUUACAGCCACUCUUCAGUGCCCAAUUGCUUAUCAAUAUCAAUAGCCAUGUACAAGUCUACCAAAUGUACGACAUCAAAUAGACCAAAUGAUAUUGUUUUGAAAUACAUAGCCAAAAGAAGCAUUUUCUGCAUCAUCAUAGAUCAGGAGUUUUGACGUCAAAUCAAAGGAAAAUACAUAGGCAAUUUGCAUUCAUUCCCCUUCCCCAUUUUCCCCUUGCCACCAUUAAUACACACAAAAAAAUUUCAUUAACCAAAAGUUUAUUUUGCCAGCAAUGAAUCAAGAUAGCAAUCUCAAAAAACCAGUAAUGUGAGGCUCAAAAUAAAGAAACAUUGUAUUUAUAUAAUGACUAUAUCUUUAUCCAACGGAGAAUUUAAAUAUAAUGACUGUAUCUUUAUCCAAGGGAGAAUUUAAUCUAUGUAUAAAUAAAACAGUUAUUUACACCUAUCCAAUCAACCGCAAGAGUAAAUACAUAAAAACUAAAAAUUCAUUAUUCAACAUCUGUUCUAUAGGAAGAAGAAAAGACCAAAGACAGAAUCAAACUCCAAUGAAGCUAAUCCCUAUGCUGUCAACCAACCACUGAUGAAUCACGUGAUUGACGAAAACCCAAAUACUCCACCAUCCAAUCUUCAAUCAGGAUUCAGUCCUUUACCCUCCCAUGGACCGCAACUCCUCCAAUGCAACCUUAAUCUGAUCCUGCACCAACUCCAACCGCUUUGAGUACACUUCCAACUCCAAAAUCUGCUGUUUCCUCCACUUCUCAUCCACCACCUCACUUCCUCCCCCUACUCCACUCCCACCAAACCCCACCAUCCCCAUUCCGAUCCCAGCCCCACCAAACCCCAUUGGCAUGAUGGCGUUCAUUGCCAACCCCCCAAUCCCUCUCCCACCCAUCCCUCCCAUCACAUUGCUCAGCAAUUCUCUAAACAACGGUGACAAACAACUCCUCACUGUCUCCUCCACCACCCCAGCAAUCCCACUACCACCACCGACACCACCACCGCUAUUUACAUUCAUAUUCUCACAAUUAUUCAUGGUUCCUGCACUAACAUUAUCAUUACCUCCUGCUUUUGACCUAGACCUCUUCCUAGGCCUUGGCGUAACCUUUUCCUCAUUAGCAUUUCCGCCAACAAAUCCAUAAUUAUUAUUGUAGUUACUGUUAUUAUUAUUAUUAUUCCUCAUUUCGUGACUAAUAACAAGAUGAUUAUUGCUGUUAUUAGCAUCCUCAUCAUCUAAAACACUAACAUUGGGGGUACUACUCCAAAUCUUACGAGAGAUUUCAAACGUGGCCUGAUCAUGAGCCGUUUUGAAAGAGAAAUCCUUACCUGAGGUGAUCUUAUUGAUCACGUUUCGGUACUUCUUCUUCAACCGCCUUAGCUUCUCGACCAAUUGAUUCUUGUUGAAGUCAAGCUGGAGCUUUGACUUUAUCUGGUCGUAGAACAACGCCGUGUCGUGGUGAUGCGCGUUUCCCCGCUGCGUCGUGUAGUCGAGGAACCCUUGCAACAGCUCGAUCUCAUCCUCGUCCGUCCACAGCCGUUGAAACAGACGUCUGGAUUCGUCCAAUUGCUGCGGCAACGGCUUCUUCUCCUCGUGUACGGUAACGCUUUCGGCGACACGUUGCCGUUUAGGAUCGGUCUCGUCGAUCGCGGCUGGUGGCAAAGCGAGGGUGACGGUUGCGGCAGAGGCGGAGGAGGAAGGGAAGGCAACGGUUACGGUAGGCGUUUCGGCGGCGGCGGCGGAGGGAACGGCGGCGGUGGAGGCGGAAUUGAGGUCCUCUUCGUCGUCUUCCUCUUCUUCGUCGGGUAGUACGUCGUCGUUUUCCUCCAGGUCGUCCUCUUCGGAGGAUUCCUCGUCUUCUUCGAGGUCUUGGUCUUCCUCUGGUAAAACGGUGUCGUGCUGCUCCGAGGCCAUUAAACAGAUAGAGAAAGUGAGCGAGGGGAUCUAGACAGGGAGAGAGUUAACCGAGUGGUUUGGUUUAGUUAAUUUGGUUCGACAGAAUUGGGGCUCAGCGACACUCAGGUUAUGCUUGUGGCUCACGAGAAUUGGUUUUGUUUUUCCUCUGUCAUUGCGUGUUGGAACUACGACUUGGUCUAGCAAGUGGGCCCACCGGCCUAUGUGGCAUCGAUGGUGCGCGAUAUUUUUUUAAUUUGAAAUAAGAAUUCCUCUUUUCAACUUAAUGGCCGUCUGUUUGCACUCGAGGAUAAGUUAACUCCAACUCUGGAUAGGGACUGUAAUAAAAUAACAGGGGUGGUUUUGCCACGUGGAUGAUUACGAUGAUGACGGCUCACAGAGAGUCACGCUGGUUUCCGGGUACUAUAUCCUAUGUCUGUGUGUUUUUACACGUACGAGGAAAUGAGGAAACCUAUGAACCAGCACAAGUAAAACGUUUGCCAACUGUGUCCAAGUCAGCGGUGAUGGUUAAGUGCUCCGAAUGUAAUAAUUAAAAAGAUUUAAUUAAAAGAGCGAGAGAGAGAGAGAGAGAGAGAGAGAGAGAGUCCACGUCAAUCAUUGUCUAACCAGAAAACAAUUUACCGACAGUUCGGUACUGGAUUACUGUUUUAUAAUAAUCCAGCCAAACACAGCCCGCCACAAGUAACGAACUCAAGUAAAACAAAUCCAAUUUGAAAUUAAACCAACCGUGAAUGUGAAAUCACAACCGAAACAGACAGUACAGGCAAUACAGCUAAACAACUUUAGGUUUCUGAUAUCCAGCACAUGGCAUCCACUCAACUCAAAACCAUUCAGUUCAUGAAUCUCAGAUGAGAGCUUAUCUUUGAGUGCUGAAACGAAUGACCAGUCUUAAAUCCAGAAAUUAUAAGAAAAAGUUUGUAUUGUUUAAACAUCUGGUAACUAGAAUUUAAGCUGAGAUUGAAUAAAAUACAUAGGUUACAUUCUGUCCAUUUCUCGAACACAAAUCAGCUAUUUUGCCGAUUGCUCACAAUGAAGUCGUAACAGUAUUGAAGGGGGUGAAGUUAAUUUCCUGUGAUCCUAAACCAAACUGUAGCAUAUGCGUAUUGUACAGCCAUCCUUAAUAACAAGGAAUAGAAGAUCUAAGAAAGCUAGGUUGAAAUGAGAAUUGUCCCGGUGUAAUUACAGAAACUCACCAUCCAAACUCGACUUCUCUUUGUAUGUAGUUUCCACACAGAGAUCAGACUUUUGUAGCAGAGGGAAAGGGCAGGAACAUUAACUUGCACUGUGAAAUGACAACUUGCAUUCGCCCCAAGCAUCAGGUCAGGCAUGUUUCUUGAGCCUUAUAUAACACACAUUCAAUGGAGAGCUCAAACUGCUACAGUGGGGUAUUCCAAGCACAAAACAGGAAGGGUUUGAUCAAAUCAGAAGUCAUUUUUGGUUCAAGGGAUCUGAUGUUUCAUAAGGCAGUCGUGUCUUAAUCUGAUAAACCUUCUUCACCUGCUGCUUCUCAUAAGCUCCACCAGAUGCACUUUCGUGUCCAUUAUACAUUGCAGGCUCUCCAGCUACUGCUCUGUUGAUCCAGUUAUUGGGUGGUGGUGGAAGAGGACCCAUGUUCGGCAGAAACUGCUGGCUAGGGUUCCCUGAGUAUCCAGAGUUUUGCACCCUGGAUAACAUCACAAUAGGAGGCCUGCUUCUGGUGCUUUCUUCAAUUGCCAAGGCAGACAUCCCAGUCCCCAAGUCCUGGUGUUGAAAUCUCUCCUGCAUCCUAGCGUGGUGUUGGUUUCCUUGCAUACCAUUUGAUGGGACUGGAAAUCUAGAGUUACCUCUCAUGCCUUGAGGAUAAUUGUAAUUUCCAUAAUUAUAUCUUGAUUCAUCACCAUAGCCCCUUUCAUGCCCAGAAGGUGCAGCUGGUCUCAGUCUGGUGACUGCAUUUGCAUAGUUGCCUUGGAAAUUGCGAUAUGAUGGUUGCUCGAAGAAUCCAGGAGAACCAUUAGGUUUAUAAUUAAGUGUAUUCUUGAUAAGACGAUGUGCUGCUUCUCCCAAUACAGGGCCAGCUAUGGCUCCAGGCACUUGUGGCCUGCAAAAUAGAUGCACAAUAAUCAAUCGACAGACAUCACUGCUUUGUUUUUUCCCCCCUUUUUUUUUUUAAUAAAAAGGAUGAGGCAAAAGAAAAAUGCCUAGUUACAUUCAACACAAGUUCACCUUCAAGUUAAAAACUUCCCAACACUAAACUUUAGAAACUGAUGCAAAACUUUAAUGUUGUUUUCCACCUUUUCUACUUCACACACAUUUGCUAGCAUUAUUUCUCACAAAAAUAUAGGCCGAAACCUAAUUUGAACUUUCAUCCCAAGGAUAUUGAUUAUUGAAUGCAAUAACCAAGAUGGUAAGAGAACUCAUUGUUUACCAUUGACAAAACUUGUAAAUGAAUUGUUCUUACCUCUCCCUGCCUUGCUGGCGCCGACUAUUGUCUUCAUGCCAAAGAGUAGGAAAUGGUUUAAUGUCUAUUGGUUUUAGGGUCUGCAAAGAUAAGAACAACCACAAUAAUGCUUGACCAUUUACUGAGUGAUGUUCCCACUAUUAAUGGUAUAUAAAGCAUAAACCAACCAUGAAUCAACAAAAAGAAACAAUAGACAUAGCAAUCCCAGCACCAGCAGAAAAAAAUAUGAGCUUCUGAAUUUCAACUUUUAUCCCAUAUGUAGGUAUUAUAGACCCCUUCCAAUAUUUUGUAACAGAGCACAUAUUUGCAGCUAAUGAGAAAAUCAUAACAUGUUCAUAAGAACAAAUCAAAAUACCCUUGAUGAAUGGUUACAAGAACAGAUCUUCAAACAUUAAGAAUAACAAUUACUCACAAACCAACAACAGAUGUUUCAUACUCUUUCAGAAGUUGAUAGAUUGCAGCAAUGUUGAUAUGAUAUGGACAGUGAUUUCACUUCACUUUUUAAGUUCACUGACAAGAAAUAAACUUAAAAUAUAUAUAUAUAUGAAAAUACACUGCUCACAUACCUUAGCAGGUAUGGUUGCGCCCUUGGGAGGUUCUGGGAUGUGUCUAUGUUUUUGAGGGUUAAGAUACGUAACAUUUCUGCAAAACAAUAAGAUAAACAACUACAAAAUUAGCUCUCAGAAGACAAAGAAUCAUGCAGGAAAAAACAUUAGUAAAAAAUGAAAUUUACAUGGCUUGGUUACGCUCAAUGUCUGGCAGCCCCUUGACAGGUGAAGGGAUGAUGCUUCUGAAACCAUUUCUCUCACAUAACCAAAUGUAUCCAUUCAUUCCCCCACUGAAAAAGGCCAGCAAUGAAUGAAAAGAGUAAAGCUAACUACUGGAAGUCUCAGGAUUUGAUCAUUAAACAAGAAUAUAUGCCUACCUGGUAUUUACAUCAAUUUCCCAAGCGAAUCUGUCUUGAGGAGGCAACUGAUGGUAGAGCUGGUAGUACAAAAUAAUCUGUUGAUACAAAGCAUGCUGUGGAUGAACAUAAAGUAAAUCAAGCAUCACACUAUUUCGAAACAGCUCUUCUUCCUGCAAAUUACAUUGAGAAUUACCAUAUGUAGCAUUGAAAAACAUAGAAGAAAAGGACCUUCCUGCCAAAAUCAUGGCCCAAAACUUUUUGAACUGUAGAAAUUCCCAAUAAAUCAAAGCAAUGCAACCUACUACUGCGGGUUAAGAAAUUAGAAAUAUAAAUCGAAGAAAACAGAAACCAAGAAUAAAGGCAAUGCUUUUUCUUUUAUAUUCUCUCUAUGAGAGACAAGUAUCCAAAUACCAAAUCCCUAAUUACCCCUCACUAGGACCCAAGGCCAGCGGAUUCAAGAGUAACGCUACAGAAUCAUAACAAAUUCCAUACCGUUAAAAACACCUCAAGCUUCUUUGUUUGACGCAGCAACAACUUCUCGUCAAUAAAUGGCAACUUGACAACGCCCUGUCUUGCAGCAUACAAACCAAUAAGGUUACUGUUAGUUUCACGAAAAGAAAUUCUAAGAGUGACAUAUUAUUUAUUCUGACAUUAAUAGACAAGGAUCACCUGCCAUGCAAAGCGUUUUCCAUUCAUAUCAAUCUGAAAAUCUGUUCACAGGAAUAUCCAACAAAGCUUGCUAAGGAGGUGAUUUUCAUAAAGGAAAUUGAUCAUAAAGAGUCGCUGAGAUUUUACCAGGAGGAUAGAAUUUGUAGAUAGGUGAUGAUGGAUCAGUCAUCAAAUUUCUGUAUUUUUCAGGCAAAGCACUAGAACUGUAACACGCAAGAGACAAUUUUCCCAUCAAAAGAGUUGAAUAUUAAAUAGCAGGACAUAAUCUCAAUCUUUAAUAAUUUUAUGUUAAGGAAGUAGAAAUUAUUUUUCAAAAAUAUACCUUGCAGCUGGUAGAGUUCCCAUUAGCUGAUCAAAGGGUUUAAAUGGUUCUCCCAAGAAAAACGUUAUUUCAAGGUCGGAUAAAUCUUUAAGAUCUGAAGCAAAUGGAGCAUAAUGGUAUGGAUAAAACCUGAAAAAAUAGUAGCCAGAAACAGCUUUUAACAACAAUAGGAAAGAAUCAUAAAAGAUCCCAUAUACAUUAUGAGGAAGUUGGAAAUCCUUAAUUGCAGCACUGCAUGUAGUUGAUAACAAAUGCAUGGCUCAGGGACUCACUCCUAGUAGAAACAGAGCCUUAUAUUUACUUUUCUCUCGGGUGUUUUUUCAAUUUUCGAGGGAUAAGCUAGUGUGGCAGUAGAACAUAAACCAAGGUCCACUUUUGUUUCCAUCAUUUUCCAGUCCAGUACCUUGAACGUGUUUUAUAGAGGCGUUUCAUAAUAAAUCCACACAUGCACGUAAACACAUAGAUUUAACCAAGUUUACAUUCAAACAGAAUUAGGCUUACCAUUGCCAAGAGCAAACAUCUUGAUAGUAAUAGCGGCAGACCCAGCAUAAACCUUCCACAUACUUCAAAACCUGUAAGUAUAACUUACAAUCAUCAUUUAUCUUUCAAUUGGAUACCCAAUUAAUUAAAAACCCACAAUGUGAGGAAAAACAAACUGUGUCAUGAUAUAUACCAACAUCUAGCAUCCAGAAAAACAUUUCCUAAAGAAAUCAGAGAUCAAAGACAUGCCACCAGACACAAGAUAAAGAACUUACUACAUCCUUUUUAACUUUAUCAAUCUCUUCUGGGUUUGAUAUUUCAAACUUAUCGGCAUAAUACCUUUCUUUGUAUCCGGGCUCCCCCAAUUUAACCUGAGAGAAAAAAAAAGUAUGGCUCAAUUUAGAUAGUAAUUCAGCAUGAAAACUAAAUUCCAGAUGGAUCACCUAAUCCUUGAUUAUCCUACAUUAUUUGUGAACAUUUUAUAAACAAAGAUUUUAGGUUAACUUCACAGUCUCCUUACAAUCAGAAAGAUUUUCCAAACUUAUCAGUAAAAAAAAGUAAUCUUUACAUAAUGAAGAAGUAUAUGCUUCAAAAAAUAAAAGGAAGAGACUCCCAGCAACAAUUUUUGCUUCAUUUAAAAUAUUUUAAAUGGAACGAUGAAAUUUUCUUGGCUCGAGAAUAUGCAAAAUAGUAAAACAUGUCUAAUAAGUGAUCAUCAAGGGAUUACUGACAGCACCAAUUAUGUUUAAUACAAACAGUUCAACUUCCUUGCAGAUUCAUUGUAUACACCACAAGAAAAAAUUAGAAUACAAAAACAAAUAGUUAAAUCUCAUACCGUGUCUGCGACUGCAACUGGUGCUUGUAAUAGCUCUUCAGAGGAUUCUCUUCUUGCAUUAAGUUUCAUCGCUUCAUUAUACUCGUAAGCCUGGAAAACAUCACCAUCAUAACCAUCAGCACAUUACUUAACAAUAUGAAAUUUAAUUAAACCAGAAAAGAGUCCAAAAGACCAAACUUCCACGUAUCCUUUUCUUUUGCUAAGAAACAGAAAAAAUAUUCAACAAGACUAUCAACCAUCAUAAUAACUAAACAGGAAAUAGUAACCACCAAAACCCCCCUCCCCAACCCACCCUCAACCCAAGAAUUGACAUGGCAAGCAAUGCAACAUUGAUCAAUGAGCAAAAGGUUCUUGGUGUAGACAGUCCACUAAGAACAGCCACGCUAGUUUUCCAGGAGUCCAUUUUUAUUAAGUCAUCUAGAUAAUUACCUUUUUUACCCCAGGAAACUCAUGUAGAUAGUUGUCUUUACUUUCUUUAGCAUGCAACAGUUUGGAGGGAUAUAUCAAGUGUUCAAUUGUAUAGUUACCAUAUGCCUGGAAGAACAUGUCCUGUGUUAUGACUUCAAAAGGCCUGUUACAAACAUUGAUCCUUAUAAGCUUAUAACUUCAAUCAUGGUCUUAUAAAGAACAAUGUUUCUGAUAUGUAUUGUGUGCCUUGGCCAGGUGAUUCCUACCGCAAACUCAGGGAAGUAUUCCUAAAGGCAUUUUUUCAAGCCAGGUAAGUAACAUGGAACGGUAUCAUGCAUCUUUCUUGGUGUAUUUCCCCAGGAACUCAUAUUUUGAAUUACAUUUCCAGGUUUAGCUAUCUUUUGUACUUUAGUAGAAAAAACAACUUAUUUAUUUGGGCAUUUAUGCACAUAUUUCUAUUUUCAUCCAACUAUAUACAGUAAAUACAAUCAAUGCCAUUACAAAGUGAAAAAUGACUCAGAAACAGGAGGAAGCUAACAUACCUGCUGUAUACGUGUCCUCUUCUGAAAGAUUUGAUCUUCAUAUACGGCAACGGACUGGAUAAAUUUCUCUACUCUAUCCAAUAAAACCUGAAAUUAUAAUUUGAGCUUGUUCAGUAUUUGUUACACUGGCAUCUGUGAUAGCCAAACAAAAAGGAGGAUUCAUGACAUGAAUUAAAGACUGGGAGCAAGCCUUUUUCAAACAGUACAUAAGAAUAAACAAACAGAGAGAAUGAUGCAUAGAUUUGAUGUGCCGAGUAAAACAGAGAAAUUACCUCACCCGCAUCAGUAAGAUAACCACCCAUAGCAGCAAACUCCCUUCUAUAAACAUGCAUCAACAAAUUUAUAGCACCCUGCAGAAACAGAAAAGGUCAGUUAUAUAACAAGCUACAGGAAAAUUCAGAAGUGGAAAACAAAAAAAGCAUUGGAAAAAGAAAUUGCAAUUUGUGAACGAAGUAAUGGCAUAAACAAAUAGGUGAUAUUUAAUUAAAGGAACAUUGUACGUACCUCCCUGAUUUCCAGUGUUGGCAUAUGUGGGAGGAAGUCAUUCCCAACAAAGAAACAUAGAAAUACAAAAUCAUCCACAAUUCUUUCAAAGUUUAUUGGAAAUGGUGGAUUGGGUAUGUCCAACUCAUAUUGCAAAUAUUCUCGCAGCACCCAGAUGUUUAGAAACUGUAUAAUAACUCAACCAAAAUCAGAAACAUUAGUAAGAAAAAGAAAAAGAAGGGGCAAGAGAGAAAAAAAUUGGAAACCACUCUGGCAGGAUGUCAAUUCUUGAACCUGGUAUUUCUUCUUGUGAAUUGGAGUAUCAUCCACUCCAUUCCAAUCUGCAGGAUUGUCACCUGGCUUACCAUGACACUCAGCUGCUAGAUGGCCAACUUGGCCACAAACAAAACAUUUUUCCUGUUGCCCAGGUAAAGUGAUUACCUACAGAAUCAUCAGAAGUUACUAUGAGAUCCAACAUUAGCAACAAAGAAGUAGGAACUGUGACGAGUAUUCACAAGGUGCGCAAAUAACCUCUCUCAAUAUCGAAAAGUGAAUCUCAUGUGUGGCCAAAGACAGCAUUAUUAAAUCUGCAUCCUGAUCAAAACAACCCAAAAGAGAAUCAGGGAAUAUGUAAAAUACAAAUUUUAGGAACUCAAUUAUGCAUAAAUAAGAAAACAAUCGAAAUAUGAGGGAUCACAGAAAGCCUAAAAAUUAAAUGCAACUCACCAGACCAUACAGACAAUGCCGGGUGUUUGGAUCAAAACCGGGAAGGUUACGCUGUAAUCGUAUGUAUGACAUGAUUUUGUGCUCUCCUUCGCCAGGGACAUUCGCAUCAGAAAGUAUAACCUUCAAAUAACCACCCAAUGCAGCCCCGUGAAUAAAUUUAGAGAGACAAAGUAUCCUGAAAGUCAAAAAGUAUACGGAGAAAAGAUACAGAAGGGAUUACUCCAUAGGCAAGGAAUCAUCCGAUCUUAAGGUACAAAAGUAGACAAUGACCAUUAAGACAAUGUCCAUCACACCUUUGUAAACCGCCAGCCUGGGAUUUGGUUUAACCUAGCUUGUAUAAAAUACUGAAGUGCGGCCGAAAGCACUGCCAUAAAUUGAGUGCCUGGAGUAAUAACAUUUGAAUCACAUGUUUCAGGUUUUUCUUUAGCAGAUAAGAGUUUCCCUGCUUCUUCAAAUUCCUUCCUCAGCCUUUCCUCUUCAGCUUCCUAAGAUAUCAUCACGACGAUAAACAAAAACAAUGAAUAAAUUGCUUGUAUUGACUAUAACCCACUAACAUAACAUAAGAAAAAUCUUACAGCCUCAGCAGCAUCUUUUGCAGCUCUGAAACGUCGAGUACGUUGCUGAUUCAUUUUAGCUCUAGGCGCCACCCCAUCUACAAAAAUCUGUAGUAAGCAAAUCUAAUUCUAGAGACAAGAAUAAAUAUAGAUAUCAUAUCUGAAAUAAGACUUACCAAUUGCCAAAUAGAGAAGCUUUCUCGGACGAACCAAUAAGAAAAUAUGAUCAAUGUAAUCAAAGAUAGAUUUAAAUACAUCAUCAUACGAGGUAGGGGCAGGCUACAGAAAUAGAAAAUUAUCAUCAGGGUACAGUUCACAAGCAGAAGAUCAAAAGUCAAGAGCAUAAGGAACAUGAAUAAAUACUACUGAACAUAAAACCAAAUGACAUUUAACAAUGCGUGGGGCUAUUUUAACUUAAAAUUUUGACACAAAUUAUAAGCCAUUGAUCUAAUUCAAUUGAAUGGUCGAGAUGAAGGAUGAAUUGACAUCGAUAAAUACAACUUUUGACUUUGGAUACCAAACAUUGAAUUGCAUUAGAUCCAUGACUCAAAAUUUAUGUAAAAAUCUUACUUGAAAUUUUUGAGUUAGAAUAGCCCAACCAUUUAACAAUUCCCAAUAAUUAAACCUCAAAGCAACAAGCCAGUAAAACAACAGUACAUUUUAACCAAGAUCAAUAACAAUUCCAAAAAAAAUCCAACAAUUUAAGACAGGUAUUGGCUAAUACAAAUGCAGUUAAGGUUACAGAGGCCAACAAAACACUCGUCACCAUAAAAAAAACUUCAAAUUCCAGCACUAGAUUAAAACUCUAGAACAGUAACAGAAAAUCACCUUGAAAACUCUAGCACAAUAGUUCAAAUGUCUCUAGGCAUGUCUCUCAGUCUCUUCAUGUUAAAGAGGUACUACCAAAUAAAUACCUAAUAGCAUUUAACAAUUUCCUAAUAAUUAAACCCUAAAACCAACAUCCCAUAAAUAUACCAAGAAAAAAAAAUUGACUAAAAUUAACAGCAAUUCUCGAAAAUGUAUUAGAGGCCAAAAAAAAAAAAAUCCAGCAAUUUUCAUCAAUUCAGAGCCAAGAAAGAUAAAUAAACAAAUGCAUGCAUUAAAGAAUUAUGAAAAUUCAAGCGAUAAAACUAUCGUAAGAAGCUAAUACCUUGCCAUCGGGGUGAAAACAAGGAUGAAUAAUUCCGUUCAUAUCCAAAUACAAAUUAUCGAAUUCCAUGCCGUUAGGGUUAGGUUUCGAAACGUCAACAGGUCUGGCGACUCCUUCGCCGUCAACUUGAGGAUCCUCCUCCACGACGUCAACAAUCGACAGCGGAUAGCGAUCCGCUAACCACCGGUAAAACGCCGGCACUCCCAUGGCUCAGAGUUCUUUGGUCCGGAUCCGUACGGUUCGGUUGAAAUAAUAAUUUUUUUUAAUGAAACUAAAAUUAAAUUAGAAAUUUAGAAAAUAGGAAGAUGAGUGCACUAGAGACGGAAAAUAGAAAAUGAGCUCCGUUGGAGAUCUGUGUAUGGACAGGUAAACGGUGGGCCUACGGAGGCGGCAGUAGUAGGUGGUUGACGAUUUGACGAAAAUGCCCUUGGAUUACGUGCGGACUUGAAGCGGAGUUGAAAUUACUUAAUUGUCUGAAGAAGGAAGUUGGGGAAAGUUUGACUCAAUUGAGGAAUGUUUGGACGCGAUGAUGAAUCAAUUCCAUUUCCAAUCGAGGAUGUUUGGAUACAACGAUAAGUUUACGGGUGGUAAUUGACAAGCCGCCAUAGCUAGAGAUGGCAAAAAUACCCGUCCGGUCCGGACCCGGACCGUAUCCGGGCGUUGCGGGUCAAGUAUUAUUUGGUUCGGGUAUGAAGUCGGGUCGGUCUUGGGCAUCACUUAAUAAACUCGGAACCCGGAUUUUAUUAAAAAAAAUUUAUAAAAUAUAUAUUAUUUUAAAUAUUUUAUAUUUAUUUGACUCAUUUAUUAUACAUAUAUAAAGUUUUAAACACUUAAAGUUUAUAUUUUUAUGUCAAAUUUUAUUGAAAUAAAUUUAAAACUUAUAAAAUUACCAAAAAAUAAAAAAUAUAUACACAUAAAAUAUUAAAAAACAUAAAAUUCGGGUACCCAGAUAAAACCCAAACCCAGACCGGUUGCAUCCGGGCAGGGUCUGGUCAUGGCAAUACCCGGACCCGGCCCGCGGUUUUGCCAUCUCUAGCCAUAGCACUGUAGGCUCGUUUAUUUAAUGCCUUUAAAACCUGAAAUUUUAUUAAUUUUAUAUUUUUUUUUAUUUGCUUAACUUUUUUUUUAAUUUAUUCAUGAUUUUCGGAUACUUAUAUCUGAGUAGAAAAAUAAAUUUUUAUUACUUUUAUCUAAAUAAAAAAUUUAUUAUUUUUAUCUAAAUAAAAAAAUCUGAAUGAAAAAUAAAAAUUAUAUAGUAAAAAUAUCUCUAUUAAAUAUACUUAUUUCUUAAACUAUAAAAUCUAAUUUUUUUAUUUUUUAUUCUUUAAAUAUCAAAAAAUAAAAAUAAAAAUUAUAGAACUUAUUAUUUUAUUCAAUAAUUUAAUAUUGGUGUUACAUAAAUAAAAAAAAAUUAUGAUUAAAUUAAUCUUGAAUCUUGUAAAUUCUUGUUAAUUAAAUAUGGAAAAAAAAUGUUUGGUUACAUUUUGUCGACUAGUGUUUAAAAAAGACGAAGAAAUAUAAUAGAGGUUUCCAUUUUUUUUAUCUAGUAUGGGAAAAAAAUGAAAAAGCUUUUUGGGGUGAUACAAGAACUUGAAACUCAUUAUAAUUAAAUAAUUAAGUUCAAUAAUCAGGUAUGGAGAAUUAAAUAUAUUGAUUUAAAAUAUUAAGUUUAAGGGUCUAGAUAUGUUGGAAACGCUCUAAGGCUAAACACGCCUUCAUAAUUAUACGAUAAAAGUUAUAAUAUAUUUUUUAUUAUUUAUCAAUUUGCGUAUGUGGCUAUAAUUUGUAUUUUACCUUAGAGUAACUCUAAGAUACCUAUUGCCUUAAGUCUAAUGAUCUAAGGAUUUUGUGUAAAAAGCAUCUAUAUAAGCACAAUUAUAUGACCAAUCAUAUAGAAAAUUGAGUAUUUUGUCCCAAAGAAUUCUCUUAAGUCCUCUUUUAACAAAAAAAAAAAUCAAAUGUUCCAAUUGUGUAAAGAUGAAUAAAAGGGUUUAUAUAAAAAGUAGAAUAGAAGCAUUCCAAAAUACGUUAUACUGACGGAAAGGGUUGGAUUUUUUACAACUUCAUACCAAUCAACAGAAUGAGUUGAAUUUUGAUGUAAAAAAUACUUUUCAAUAAGAUAGUUAAUACUUAAUAAUAACGCAUGGUCAAACCUUAAUCACACUUUCAAAUGAAAGAAAUCAUAAGAAAUCCCACCAAGUCUUUUGGAUCGGAACCUUAUCAUUACAGCUAAUUAAUUUAAUUAUAACUCUUAUUUCCAGCACACACAAGAAAAGGGAAAGUCAACUUUGAUUACCAUACUCUUCACAUCUUCUCGCUAAUUUAUUAUUCUUUAAUGAAUGUGCAAUUGCAUGGAAAUAUUAGUUUUUUCUUUUUUCUUUUUUCUUUUUUCUUUUUUUUGGUUAAAUAAUUACAAUCUACAAAUAUAUUACAAUUUGGAUCUAUUGUGAUUAUAAAUUCAAAUAUCUAAGACACGUUUAAGAACUCAAUAAGGAUAGUGCCCCCAAGGUCUCGCUUCAGUAAUAAAGAGCUACCACCUUUGGACUCAAAUCCUAUGUUUAAGCCUCGCUAAUGUGCAUGUAUUGAUAAGAAAAAAAGAUUGUUAGAAAAUAAAACUAACAAAAUUAGCUCGAAAAUCUACUCCUACUAGCAACAUUAAAUAUAAACAUGAUAAUAUUUUAUGAAAAGAUAAUGAACUCUCAUAUAUGCUCAAUGUUGAGAGCACCAACUCAUUGCGAGCUAAAAAAUCAAUGAUAUAUGAAAGGGUUCGAUUAUAUUAGAACCACUUUAAAGUAGAACAUCAUUUUAUAAUCACGCGAUUGAAAUUAUAAUGAGUUUUUUUUUACUGUUUAUCACUUUACGUGUAUGAUUGUGAUUCGUGCUCUACCUUAAAACAACUCCAAGGUAGUUAUAGCCUAUAUUAAAAUAUUAAUUUUGAUUUACAAAAAAAUAUGUUUUCUACAUAUUUAUUCAAUACAAUCACAAUUAAUUUGAUAUUUUAUAGGUUUAUACUAUGUGGUACACGGCGGAACCAUUCACAUGCUUAGCAGCCCCCGAAAUUUUAAAAGAUCUUAAUAUAUUAAGCCAAAACUAAAAAUUUUUAAUAUAUUAAAUUAAAAGUAAACCAAUAGGUAAUUGCCACGUAACUUUAAUAAUAUUUGUGAGUUGGUUAAUUAGUUUUAUCAAGACGACUUAACAAAUCACAAUAAGAGAAGAUGCAUUUGAGAGUGAAAUUUGAAAAUUAUAAUUAUAAUGUAGUUCGAGAACCCGGGGUUUAUAAAUUUAUCAUCUAUUUUUUAUUUAUGUUGAUGGUUGAUAUGAACUAGAAGAUCAACAAUGUAUCCACUUGUCUACUGAAUAAUUUUGUUAGUACUUACUCUUUCAAUUUCGAGUGCUACGAUCUUUUUUGGCUAUGUGCAUUGUCAAGAAUAGACUUUGCAACGAAAUGGAUAAUGAUUUUCUCACAAACACAUUGCUAACGUACAUGAAGAGAGAUAUUACCAAGAAGAUUACUAUAGAGUCAAUCAUAAAUGAGUUUUGAGAUAACAAAGGACAUACGAUUUAUUUUUUUAUAGAUGAUUGAAUUAGAUUAUACAUACUAUUAUUUAUGUACUGUGAUUAAUUCAAGAUUUGAAUGACAUUUAUUUAUUUAUUUUUUGCAAUAUUUUUUUCGUAUGCAUUUUGGCAACCCCCAAUCCAAUAGCUGUUUUUGCCCCCGUCUGUUGUUUAUUUGAAUUUUGACGGAAUUAUAUUGAUAAUGUCCGGCAUUAUUAACCCACAUAAUUACAAGACAAUAAAUAAAAAAAUUACAAUUCCAUAAUCUACGAUUACUAAUAAAUUAAAAAAAAAAUCUACUCCUAUUUUAUAUUAUUGUAAAAAAAUUAAGCGAACACGAACCCAUCAUUGAACUGGUCGAUUUUCUCAAAUGUUAUCUCUUAUAACAUUAAAAUAGAAGUUGGCUUUUCAAAUACACCAAGAGUCACAUAAAUAUACAUUGAACUGCUAGGCUGCUAACACUGCGACAUGUCUUAUCCAGUAGCUCAAUUAGUAAUUGGCUUCUUGUAGAAAUAUAUAUAAUAUAAGAGUGAUAAUAUAAUCAUAAAUUUUUGUAUAAAUUUAUCUUAUAUAAAUUAAUGUAAUAUUAAUUUAUUGGUUGAAUGAAAAUAUAAAAUAAUAAAAAUAAAUUAUGUAGGUAAAAAAUAUUUAAUUCAACUAAUUUUAUUAUAUCACAUCAAUUUAUAUAAAAUAAAUUUAAACAUUAAAAAAUUUAUUUCUAACAUACUUUUCAUUUUAAAUUAUAUAUUCCUAUUUUCAGAAAUCUCUUGAACAAGAUAAGGAAUUUCUCUCUGACCGGAAAGCUCACCUUUCAUCCACUAUCAUGUUUAUCAGAAGCUGAUCUCCAACAAAAAUUUUCCAAAUGGGCUUUCAUAAUAUAUAUAUAUAUAUAUAGUGCAACUGUAGUAUCGUGUCACAGUUAUAUCGAAUCAUUGGAUGCACUUAAAUAAGUGAGAUUCACGAACAUCCAACGGUUGGAUGCAACUGUGACACAGUACCAUAAUUACACUAUAGCUAUAUAUAUAUAUAUAUAUAUGUGUGUGUGUAUGUAUGUAUGUAUAACACAAAGAUGACCCAUUAAAAAAUAAAAGUCAAGAAAGCAACUUUCAGAUAUUGAAUAAAAGUAUAAAAUCAAGUAACCAGGCAUGUUUAUUUAUUUAUUCAUUUUUAUUUUUUGUUUUGUUCUAUAUUUCUCAUUUGGCCGCCUGAAGAAUAUUUAUAUAAGCAAAAUCAUCGUAACGCAUAAACAUAAUUAUUAUCAGGAGAUUUAUUUGUUUUUCAAUUUUCUACUGUUUUCCAGCUGCCUUGACAUUGUUUACGAUUCUUCCCAGAGAAAGCUUUCACGUUCGCUUGGUAAGUAGUUGAAGCUUCAGACUAUCUCUUUGUCGUUUCAUAAAUCCCAGCUAUUCGUUUAAAGUCAGCUUUUUAUUUUCAUUUUUUUGGGUUCUGCCCAGAUAAGAUUUUCUAUGUAAGCUAUUAAAGUUUCGGUUUUUAUCUCCAUUGCUUCAAGAUUUUGUACUUGAAAUCUCGAGUUUGACGUUUGUGUAUUAUUUUGUUAUCUGGGUGGGUUUAUAUCACUCAAAAGUUUUAAUCUUUCUUCAGUUUUGUUGAGUGUUUUCUAUUGGGGGCUAAUCUUAGUUUAGUUGAAAAUCUCUAGGUUUUUCUUCAAUGGCAAAAAGAAAAAAAAAAGAAGUUAUCGUGUUCAUUUUCUCGGCUACCAAAAUGGUUUUUUCAUUUAAGUUUUGAAGUUUGAAUGAAUCAACUACUGUUUGGAUACCGUUACAUGUUGUUGUUUUCUCUGAUCCAUUCUCUUUUAAAUGCUUCUGCAGUAACUUGAAAAAAAGAAAAAAAAAUGGUGGAGGAGAAGUCCGUGAUUGCGAAAGAUGUCACUGAAGUAAGCUGUUCUCAUUACCAUUUUUGUAAUCAUGAUUGUUUGCUGGGUUGAAGAUGUUUUGGUUUUGCUCAUAUUGUGUUUCCUUUUCUGGUUGACUUUUGUAGUUGAUUGGUAAAACACCAUUGGUGUAUCUCAACCGCAUUGUGGAUGGUUGCGUUGCUAGAAUUGCUGCCAAGCUGGAGAUGAUGGAACCCUGCUCUAGCGUCAAAGAUAGGUAUUAGUUACAUUUACUUUGUUCUGCAUGAAUAGAAUAUGAAGUAAGAUAUUUGCAGUAAGUUUGACCAUAUUCAUAAUAUUAGUAGGCUGUAGUUGGUUGCAUAGAGUCCUGAUAUAGUUUCUGACAGAUCCAAGAUUAUUGAGUAUAUCAUAUAUUGUUAUUCAAGGAUUUUGGUCAUGCAAAAUGUCAUCCUUGACAAGAUUAUAUGUCUGUAUUCUUAAUAUUGUCUAUAAUAAAAUUUGGAUUUCUUUAAUAUUGACUUGGGAUUGGCUUAGUAGAUAUGAUAUGCUCAUUUUUUGAGUGCUUGCAGAAUUGGAUACAGUAUGAUCGCUGAUGCAGAGGAGAAGGGUCUCAUUAGACCAGGCGAGGUCAGUGAUUCAAUCAUUCUUGUUCAGUCAGAGUUUAUGAAUGCUUGUGCUGAUCUGUAACUUUUAUAUAUAGUCCACCACCUUCUAUCUGUUUCGAUAUAUUAUUCUUUUAAUAUUGAUAAUUUGGUGAUUAUAGUACUGUAACUCCGGUUGGGUAGUAGAAGAUGCUUUAGAAUGACAAGAAAGCUUUCAUUUUGACAAAAAAAUUGUUGAUUCUUAUGUGGUUCAGAGUGUCCUGAUUGAGCCUACCAGCGGUAAUACUGGCAUAGGGUUGGCAUUCAUGGCAGCUGCUAAGGGUUACAGACUUAUAAUUACCAUGCCUGCUUCAAUGAGUCUUGAAAGAAGAAUGGUUCUCCUAGCUUUUGGAGCUGAGCUUGUGCUCACUGAUCCUGCCAGGGGCAUGAAGGGAGCUGUUCAGAAGGCAGAAGAGAUAAGGGACAAGACACCGAAUUCCUAUGUCCUUCAGCAGUUUGAAAACCCAGCAAACCCAAAGGUAACAUUUGAAUCAGUUAUUUAAUAAUUUUAAAAUAUUUCCUGUAUACGUCAAUUACUUGUUGGAAAGAUUUGCAAUCUAAUUUUUCUUACUUUUAGAUCCACUACGAGACUACCGGACCAGAGAUCUGGAAAGGCACCGGUGGUAAGAUUGAUGCCCUUGUUUCUGGUAUAGGGACUGGUGGUACUGUCACUGGUGCAGGGAAGUAUCUCAAAGAGCAUAAUCCUGAAAUUAAGGUCAGCUUUUUCUGUUCAUGAUUUAGAUGGAAAAGUUGUUAAGAUUAAAUUUGUUGAUUGUGUUUGCCUUUGUUCUGGUUUCUGAUGUUGCUGUUUCCGUCUCUGUUUUGUGUUCAGCUCUAUGGCGUUGAACCAGUUGAAAGUGCUGUGCUGUCUGGAGGGAAACCUGGUGGGUUAUGAUAUUUGACAAGUUUAUUUGAAGUUUUCUUGCUCAUUUGUUAUAUUUGCUUAGUUGCAAUUGCACGUUCUACAUAAAUAUUCUACCGUAGUAGGGAUUAUUUUUUACAAAGAAAAAAAAAUGGAGUUAAUUAACUGCAGCAUGUUUGGUGCCAUCCCACAACGAUGAGUCUAUGCCUAUUAGUAUUCCUGUAAUAUUAAAGCCCUUCUAUCAAUGUUGCUUGUAUUUGUCUAAAGUGAACAAUAUCUUGUUAAUUCUUGUGCUAAUGCGAUGAAUUACAUGCUUUUAAAUGUGUAAGGUCCCCAUAAGAUCCAAGGAAUAGGUGCUGGCUUCAUCCCUGGAGUUUUGGACGUCAAUUUACUAGAUGAAACUGUUCAAGUAAGCCUCAAAGCUUCUGACAUGAUAGGUCUUUCAUUCAGCAUGUGAACCUAUACAUCUGUUAAAUAUAAGUGCUAUCAUUACUUUAUCCAGUUGCCGUUGGUAAAGCACAUACAAUGAGAAACCAUGUAAACAAAUGUAUUUGCCUUGCAAUAAUUUAAUGGACCUUGUUCUCAACAGUAACAUGGUAGCAUUUCUGGCCUCACUGGGGGGGCUGUCAAAUUACUUUGAAUGCCUAUAAGCUUGGGACAGGAUUGCUUUUUAAUGGUUCAUUUAAUUUGUACGGAAAGUAUCAGAACAUCUAGUAAAAAAUCUAUGGUUAGAUAUCCUUUGGUGGGAGAUCCAGUAGUAGUCUUUAAGUCUUUCUAUGAGGGUGUUGCAUAGAUGCACAAAUUACCUAGUGCUACAACGAUUAAGUCAGAGACAGUGGGAGUUAUCUGAGAUUUUAAGAGAUUUUAAAAUCUGUAACCUCUUGAAUGACAGACAGUAUAUAAUUCUGAUAGUUAUGAAUUAUUCUUCUUUCCUCUUUCUGUGAAUCCAUUUCAAUUUUUUUUAAUCACUAUGGUGUAAAGUUAACAAAUCAUAGCAAAAACUGAACCAUGAUAACUUCAUGCCUUUGCAGAUAUCAAGUGAAGAAGCUAUUGAGACUGCGAAGCUUCUUGCACUUAAAGAAGGAUUGUUGGUAAGUCUGAGUUUUCUAAGCUGUUUCAAUAAGGGAACCUUUGAGAUUUUGACAUUUUGUCAUCACUUCAAAUCUUAUCGUAGCAUUUGUUAGUUUGUGAUUGUGACUUCAGAGUUCUUUUUGCUUUUCUGUGAGUUUUGUGCUAAUCUGAGCAUACGUAUUGCAGGUUGGGAUAUCAUCCGGAGCUGCUACUGCAGCUGCAAUUCGGAUAGCAAAGAGGCCAGAAAAUGCUGGAAAACUCAUUGUGGUAAGUUUAACAAUCUCACUAAUCCUUGUAUACUUAAACACACCGUUUUGGUUAUUGUUAUUAGUCCGGAUAUCCAAAUAAAUGCUUAGUUGGCAUAAUCAUUUGGUCAAGCAACAAAUAAGCUUGCUAAUCUGUGUAAUUUGAACCCUUAACAGGUGGUCUUCCCCAGCUUCGGAGAGCGAUACCUCUCUUCUGUUUUAUUUGAAUCUGUGAAAAAGGAGGCAGAGAGCAUGGUGUUUGAGCCGUGAGAUAUGCCCAAACCUUUUGAGUCACCAGUCCCGUAUUCUGUGGGGACUAACUUGCUUUUCUAGUCAGAAUUUCAUUUUGGUUGGAUGCUUUGGCUUCUUCAUGUUUUCUUAUAAACAACUACAAAUCUUUGCAAUUCCUUACCCUCUGGAGGAGGUUUCACUGUUUGUGUAAAAAUCUGUGGAAACUCAUAUGGGUUAAAGUUCUGUAGUCUAUGCUGUGCUUGAGAAUGAAUAAAGUUUGGAAGUAGGUGUUGUAGAGAAUAGUUUUAUAAUCUUUAUUUAUUUAGGAAUCACUAAAUCAAUAAUCACGAGGGAAACUUAGAAACGAAAACAGUAAAUCCAUGGCUUGGGAAUGACAUGUCAAUACAAGAUCUUGGAAUGAAAGGUUAUUCUGCUCUUCAAUCACAGCCGCAAGUACUCAUACGCCUUUGGAUGACAGUGUCUUAUAUGUAAGACUGUGUCACAGCCGCGACAAAAUUUUGGUGGUCGUUCAUAAUUUGUCACAUUCAGUAUUAUUUAUGUAUUAAUUUAUGGUGUCUAACAGAAAAUUUGUGAAGCUCAAUGGAUAAAUUAGGUGUUGCUGGGGGCGUCGUCGGAACUAACACCUUACUGACACAUCAUACAAAUGUCCCUCCAGUUACAUGCACUAGUCAACGUAAAUACAUAUUAUUAUCCAGUUACAAACACUCGUCAAUGUAAAUACAUGACACGUGGUAAUCGUAAAAGCGGUCGCCGUAGUAUUACCAACACUAUUAGGCAAUUAUUGAUAAGUUUCAGAAGCGAGUUGCGAGGGGAUUGCGCGAACGCAGUCCCCACUACCACAAAUUAUGACGUACAGUCUCCUCAGAGGGAGAUGUUAGGCUAGUGCACAUCCCUUGAGUGCAAUGGAAGCCACAAGCCUAGGCCAUGGGCCUUCUUGAUCACCCAUCGACCCCGUCCAGGUAUGUAAUUUUGCACCAGAUGCCUUUCAUUGUAUUUAUAUUCUAGUGCCCACAUCGCUUGUCUAUACUUUCUCAAUGUGGGAUAAAAUUACCAGCACUGCUGCUUGUACUAGCAGAAGCUAUUUUCACUUCUCAAACUAGAGUACAGUGCAAGAUUAUCAUUAUCUAUAUUUUAGUUUUUAUAACGAUUUAUUCAGGAUGAAUUUGGAAGUGUUUCUUCUGAAAUGCGCGAGCUUAAUUGCGGGUGAAGGAAAUUUCUGGUAAUGCAUCGUAGGGUAUUUUAUAAUUGCUUUCAAAAAGUGUAAUCGAAAGUGCUUCGUGGAGAACAAUCUAUAGAUACUUUUUCUAUAGCUCAUCGUACUUCCAAAAUGUUCUGUUUAUAUGAAAAGAUGAAUUUUCUAUUCACUCAAAUAUUAGUUGGAAAGUGUUUUUGAUGAUGAAAAAAGCACUUCCUACAUGUAUUCUUAAGUCUUAACCAAUAAAUAAAGGUAUAUCUUCUUGAAGAAAGUCAACACAAAUUCACAAAUCAGCAUUUUGUUUAAAGUUCAGGCUGAGGACAGAAAGAUAAGCCUGAGGUUUUACGCCUUUAGCAACACAGAUUCAAACUAAAAAUAUCUCUUGUACAAGUGCUUUUGGACAUGGCUUUCAAUAAUUUAAUUGGAUACUGAAUGGGGUGGUGAUUAUGAGACUACGGGACUAGAUAUUUUAAGUACAUUGACUUUCAAUUGCGAGGCCAACUAAGUAAGCCCCUCGACAAUUACAAGAAAACUAUAGUCAGUGUAUGCACAAUGUAAUCUUGUCUGCUCGGAGUAUGUAUAGGUUGCAAAGUACAACAAUGUGAUACACAAGUCAUCACAGAAAUUUUAAUCUGGGAAUUUUACUCAUUAUGUUUUUCAUUUUUUGACACUCUAGGAUUGCAUGUAGUAUGAUCAAAGAUGCAGAAGAUAAAGGCUCGAUAUCUCCUGGAAAGGUAUACGCCAAGGAAAUUUCCCUUGUCUGUAUUUGAAAUGCUAGAACUUCUCAAUUAUUUGUGUUGACUUACAAAUUUCCUUCUAUUCAUUUUCAAAUGAUAUUAGCAAUACAAUGUUCUCGUUGAGAUCACCAGUGCUAAUGCUGGCAUUGGAUUGGCAUCCAUUGCAUCAUCAAGGGGCUACAAAAUUAUAGUUAAAAUGCCAAACACAUAUAGUAUUCAGAGAAGAAUGAGGUUCAUAUAACAGAUGCAGAAAGGGGCUAUAAGGCAGUUGUUGAAAAGGCUGAGGAGACAAUUAAGUAAAAUACCGAAUGCUUAUCUGCUUCAGCAACGUGAAAAUCCUGCCAAUCCAAAGGUAUUCCUUUUGUUAUCUUGUAGCAUGCAUGUUUUCAGGUUGAAAAUGAUUUCUGAUUCUCUUUUUUAAUAAACCGUGUAAAUCCAUUAUGAAACCACUGGUCCAGAGAUAUGGAAAGAUUCAGGAGGAAAAUUUGACGCCCUAGUUGCAGGUAUUAGGAUUGGUGGGACAAUAACUGGAGCCGAAAAAUUCCUGAAAGAGAAAAACCUAGAGAUAAAGGUUGUUUUCUUUGUCCUUGUGCAAUAUUUGUGUUGUGAAAGUUUAUUUUAACAGUAGCCUUGUUUCUGCGCAGGUUUAUGGUAUAGAAUCUGUAGAAAGUGCAGUCUUGAAUGGUGGAAAGCCUGGUGAGUUACAAUCUCAAUACAUGGCCUUAAUUAUGAUGCAGUAUCGGUUAACUUGAAGAUUUUGCAUUAUAUGCAUUUUCACAGGCCUACAUCUAAUCCAAGGAAUUGGUACUGGUAUCAUCCCCACUGUCUUGGAUAUCAAAAUGCUCGAUGAAGUUAAAAGUCUAAAAACCAUGUCAUUAAGCAUCUGUUUUGAAUUGUUAUGCAUGUGACCGAGACUGCCAAGCUUUGUUCAAGUCAAGUCCCAAAACCAUGUCAUUAAGCAUCUGUUUUGUUAUGCCAUGUGGUGACCGAGACUACCAAGCGUCUCGCCUUGAAAGGAGGUUUGCUGGUUAGCAAAUGGAGUCCUGAACUGGCUGCUGCUUUUGAAGUAUGGAAGGAUUUGACGCAGUGGAUACUUUGUAAUUCAGUAAUUAUUAGUUGAAUUUCAAUUUAACUCGGCCCAAUCUUUUACAAAAAGGAUUGAGCCGAACCCAACGAUUGUACACCAUAAUCUAAAAUCCUUCUUUCAAGAAGAGGUAUAAUAUUUUCUCCUCAGUUAGCGAUUAAAAAAUAAGAAGUCAUUCUUCCAAAAAAGAGUCCCAUGCAAGAAACUCACCGAGCAAGCAACAUAGAAAUUAAUUCCGGAACGUUUUCAAAGGAGAAUUGGGAGGGGGCCGCGCGAACGCAGGCCCCCGCUGCCACAAAUUAUGACGUAGGCUCAGCCACUAUGGGCUGACCUUAGGUGGGUGCAUCUCCCACGUGCAAUGGAGACCACCAACCUAGGCCAUGGGCCUGUUUGAUCGCCCAUCGACCCCGUCCAGGUAAGUAAGUUUCCAGGUUGAUCAUAGCUCCUUAUUUAUAAGAGCUUGUCUGCUUCUCUCGCCUUGUGUCACCGAUGUGGGAUAUUCUAUAAAGGAAGGGAUUAGGAAGAGAAUCGAAUUAUGUAACAUCAAUGUAAGACAUUGUGAAGCUGAAGCCUUAAUUAGAUACUUUGUUAAAGAGACUGGGAUUAGGAUGAGAAUCGAAUUAUGUAACAUCAAUGUAAGACAUUGUGAAGCUGAAGCCUUAAUUAGAUACUUUGUUAAAGAGACUUCCUGUGCAACAACACAAUCACAUUAAAAUUUUCUUCUUCCUCCCCCCCCUCCAGCUUUAGUAAUCUGGUUACUUUAAGACAAUAUCCACAUAAUUGUAUAUUUAGAUUGAUCGUCGGAGGCUGGUUAAGUGUAUCAGUUACAAAAACAAUUUUUGAUGGUUCAUACCCUCUGCGCCGAUUGAAUGUUAAAUAUUUCUUCGGUUACAGCUCAAUUGACAUUCACUAAUCACUCUUUACAAUUAACGUAUCCGCUUUCUUCGGUUCACUUCACAUGUCAGAUUUAUUAAGGGUUUGAUAGUUAAUUACUAGAACCCUUGACAAACACAGGCAGUACAAAUCCAUAUUUACUUGGUAUAUCAGUCUUAACAAGAGUAUCCAAGAGUUUUUGAUCCAGGACAAAAGCCGGAUGCAAGAUGGUAAGAGAGGUUUCAUUGCAUACCACGGACAACGUCGAGAAAGCACAGUCUGGCAUUACGUUGCUGCUAAUUACUUUGUUUGUUACAUACGAGUUCAUAAUCCAAACUUGCAAAAUCAACGUUUUCGACCGCUAGUUGAUAGGGGGCCGCGCGAACGCAGGCCCCCACUGCCACAAAUUAUGACGUAGGCUCAGCCACUUUGGGCUGACCUUAGGCGGGUGCACCUCCCAAAACCACUUUGGGUUGACCUUAGGCGGGUGCACCUCCCAAGUGCAAUGGAGGCCACCAACCUAGGCCAUGGGCCUUCAUGAUCGCCCAUUGACCCCGUCCAGGUAAGUAUGUCUACACUUCCUUCGCAGUCCCUAGUUAUACAAGCUUGCUUGCAUCUCUCGGUUGUGCUCUUUCAAUGUGGGAUAACGUUAGCAAAACAAGGGAUUACUAAUGGAAAUCAGAAACUACUAAAAGUACUGGACAUUGAUUCCUUAAUUUGAGUAGUUUAAUGGUGAUCUAGUCAACAUACACUAGUACGUUCAUUGAUAAAAUGGUUGAAAUGAUACUAUAUUUGAUUGGAGAUUGCGUGUCAACAACUCUAGCCAUCGUCCUAAAUGGUUGAAUCUACCAAAUGAACGUAAAACAUCUGCCGUGUCCGGAAGUUUUUUAUUGUUUAAUAGCUAAUUGCUUUUGAGUUAUGAUAUCACCAGUUGUUCAAAUCCAUGUUCAUAAUAUUUAGGCUUCUGUUUGCUAAAUUUGCUGCUUGAUGUUCUUGGUGUUAAAACCACACUGCAAUCAAAAGAAAGAAAAUGUCACUAAAGUAAAUUUUCUUCACAAGAUUUGAGCUCUCUCUCGCCUUACCUAAAGUAAAUUUUCUUCACAGGAUUUGAGCUCUCUCUUGCCUUACCUCUUAACUGCAGUAAUCUUGCUUAUGAAUGCAGGUAUGUUUUAACUUGUUCAGUUAAUAGGCAAUACACCAAUGGUGUAUCUCAACAAUAUUUUUGACGGAUCUGUAACGCAUAUUGCUGCCAAGCUAGAAAAAUCUAGUCUAUUUCACCAUCUUCUAUCAUAUUUUGCUCUGCAUAAAACUGCUGUUCAAUUUAUAUUUUAAUCUGUACUAAACUGCAGUAACAAUGUAAACCUUUUCUUUGGCUUGAAGAAUAGCGUUAUCUAUCCACGGUUCCCCUUGAAUCAAUUAGACAUGAGGCAGAAAACAUGACCAUUGAUUUAGAUAUAAUACUCAAGUUUAGAAAGUACAAUACAAGCAUCGUUUCUGCUCACUGGAGGCCUAAAUUAAGAACAAACUUCCAUUUAUUUUGUUCUUUGUCUUAGUAGAUGCUGCUGCUGCUGCACAAAUUUGGUUUAAAGCUCUGCUUCGAAAACCAUGUCUUUAUUAUGAAGUUACUAAAUUGGCUUCAUUCUAAAAUAUUUACAAGAUCAAUAACGUUUCCUGAUUGAUUUACACUGCCUGCUGCUGCAAUAUGUAUUAGGCAAGCAUCUGAACUAGGGUCUUGACAUUGGUAUCAUGCCCAUUGUUUUGGAUAUUGACUUGGUACUUGUUAAACUUAUCACGUUGUUUUAAAAUCAUACUGCGAGUUAUGUACUUUUGGACUGGCAUGUAACAUAUUGAUCUGCGUCGGUUGGUUAGGCCAAAAGCAAUGGCAAGCCUCUCUCUAGUGUCAGAAAGUGCCUCAACUUUUGUCUCCUCUUGAGUAUCAUGAAAGCACAGAACCUGUCAUGAGAAUAUAACCUACCUCAUAAUCUUUUCAUUAGAGUAGCUAACUCAAGUGCAAAAUAAAUGAUAUCAGAUUAAGGACGAUACGUGUCUCCUACCCUGAAAUCGUAAACAACAUUAGUGGACUCAAUCAGACAAAAUUGGCUCCUUUGCCAGACAUUAGCAACAUAGAUAUUUGAGAGUAAAACAUGGUAGUUAGCAUUUAAGGGAUGCAGCUGAAAAAACUGUCUGCAGUUCUCCGGCUAUAUUUAAGUUACUACCAUAAAUUGGGCAUGCACCCAGGCAAAGAUCUCAAUUUACUUGCAUCAGGUUCCACUCAUCCAGCGGCAUACUCACAAGUAGUUUCUCUGCUCCAGAAAGUUGUCCUCAAACCAGGUAUACAUGCCAUACACAGGGUAAUUGUUAAGUUUCUGUGCAAUCCUCAACUACUUCCAUUGAUUCAAAACAACUCUUGCUACCUUCCAGUAACCAAAAAUGACUGCAAGCUGGUAGAACACAAGUGAAUGGUAUAUAAUUUGACCUCACCCCAGCUUCUACCGAGUUAUCAAAGAGAUCAAUGGCCUCCCUUCCUUGCCCCGUGAAAUCCGUAGCUAGCAAUCAUAGCACUCCAAUAAAAGACAUAUUUGCCUUCACCCAGUUAUGAAACCACUCAGCUUUUCUCAAUGCUCCAAGUUUGCCUCAAGUACAAUCAAAAUACUGAUCCUAUUUGGCUUUAUCCCUGAAUAAUGCAUCAUAUUAAAAGAAGCUGAUGUCUCACCUUUAUAUACAUUGUGACAAUACCGAGAAACUCCGUCAAACUAAAUCAGACAUUUUAUCGAACACCAAAAUGUCCAUCCUCGACAUCUGAUUAGUACCCACAAAACCCAGAAAUCAUCAACUUCAUAGGACCACAUCACACAGCCCUUUUACCAAACACCAAACGUGCAUAUUCGACAUUUGAGCUCAACUCUCAAAGUAAAGCGUAUAGUCAAGUAAAGCAGACGGAAGUUGGAAAGUGACUAAGCUGCAAAUUCAACAUCAAUUUAUCGUAUUACAAGAAAAAAAAAUUUAUAUAAUAUAAUCUUCCCCGUAGCUAAUAGAGUAAAGCUUUAAACUUAAUUUGUUGGGAGCAUUUCCAAAGAAAUGCACCUCCAAAAAUUUGCGUAUGCCGCGUGAAGCGGCGAGCACACGGUAUUCUUUAGUAAAAGGCGAAAGAAUAGUUCGCUCUGUGCUCACCGCACGGCUCCGUGAAUAUUAAUGAUUGUAAGGAGUUUGUUUUUGUAUUGGGAGGUGCUUACUGCUAAAGCUCUCGCUCUCGAUGUGGGAAUAACUGAACCAGGCGUUUUGAACUCUUUAAACGAUUGUUAGUUAGGUACACAUUCCAACUUCGAUUCUGAACUUAACCAGCUUCAUUUUUUUGCUCAAACUGAAAGAUUAUCAUUAUCAAGUGCAUUUCGUUAUCUAAACAUACAUUUGAAGGUUUCGAAAUACUUUAAUAAACAUGUGGAAAUAUCAAUUGUUAACAUGGCUUUACCUAUUUUCUACGACAGAUCAUCUGUUCAAGCAAGGUCGCGUCCUUCAAUCAGUGCAUUGGGUAAUGAAUAUAAUUGUAAGAGACUAGUUCAAACAAUGAUUCCUCAUUUUUCUUCCUGCUUUUAAAAUUUGGUUUGUAGUUGAGCCCCCCACAGUCACUAUGGACUGACCAUAGAUGGGCGCCCCUCAUAAGUGCAGUAGAAGCCACCAAGCUAGGCAAUAGACCUUCUUGAUCACCCAUUGACACAGUCCAAGUAAGCAUGUUCGAUAGUUUGCUUUUAGCUUCUUAUCUCUACUGUUGUGAUUACCAUGUAUCACCUUGUGCUUGAUAUACUUUAAGCUGUUACUUCUUAGUCUUCUAAUUCAUUACAAAAUAAAAUAUAAGAAGCAGUCUAGGCUGACCAUGGAAAAUGUAGUAAUAUGAAAAUUUUUGCGGAUAAUUUUAAAAAGGUUUGAUUAUUAAAUGGUGUAACACUGCAAAUUUUCAGAUAUUUACUUAAUAAAUAAUGUUAUCUCAUCCCUGAAAGUUUUGUAAUGUGAAGAAAAAGUUCCAUUACCAGUUUAGUACAAUUGUCUAGUCAAAUCUUCUUAUCCUCGUUCUUGUGCUGGGUAAAUUAAUCUUAUUUGUUAGCUGUUACUUUGUAGUUUUUGUUGAAGCAUAUUGCUUUUGUAUUAUUGGACUAUUUUUCCUAACUGGGAUUGUAAUUUUGUGAAUUUGUUCCUUCUUGUGGGUGAUUUAGGGUGUCUGGACUUUGGUUAGCUCCUUUGAGCGUUGUGUCUUACUUCGGACGUAACAAAUUGCCUUGAAUUUUUUGUUAACUAACCAAAGCCCAAAGGCAAAAGAAACUGCCUUUCAGAGUUUGGUACUAAGUGCUGUCCCAGUAUAUUUUUUAACUCCUGAUCUUGAGGAAGUGCUAUAACUGUUCAAUAAUCUCUGCUGUCGCGGCACAUGCUAGGUUGGCUCCAUGAUAUUUGAUGGUGUUUGAAGAAGUAGCUCAUGGAGGUCAAGUGUGCAAUAAAGAAAGAUGUCACUGAAAUAAGUUUCUUCGCAAUAACUUAGGCUUUCUAUCCUGCAUUUUCUCUUGAACAACUAUAGACUUGCUAACAAAAGUGGGUGUGUGUGAACUUGUUCAGUUAAUAGGCAAUGCACUGAUGGUGUAUCUCAACCAUGUUGUGGAUGGUUGCGUAGCACGUAUUGCUGCCAAGCUAGAAAUGAUGGAACCUUGCUCUAGUGUCAAAGAAACAACUUUAUUAACCCUUCUUUUUAAUCCUUAAUGGAUUGUACAUUUCUUCAUACGUAUCACAAUGCUAAUUUUGUUUAUAAUGUUUGACAUGGAGGAUUGCGUUUAGGAUGAUCAAAGAUGCCGAGGACAAGGGCUUAAUUACCCCAGGAAAGGUAUGCAAUCCAAAUAUAAUUCUCCAUUUUGAAUUUGAUUUCUUAGACUUUCAGUGUAUAUCCGAUAGAGUUACCAUGCUCAAAUUGAUAGUUUAUAUCUAUGAUAAUAUGACAAUAUAACUAGCGCACAUUGUGGAACUUCUGAACUAACCAACUUCCCUUCUGGAUGUUUUUAAAGUCUAUCCUGAUUGAGAUAACAAGCAGUAACACCGGCAUAGGAUUGGCCUUCAUUUCUGCAGUGAGGAUUGCUGCAGUGAGGGGUUACAAAAGUUAUCAUUGUCCUACGCGGCAUCUUCGUAACUAACUAACUUGAGACGGAUAUAUCCACUACUGGUUGCCACAUCAACACUCUUGCAACAUCAGCAUUAGUAGUAUUAACUGAAUUUCGAAGCAUUUCUUACAGUUUUCUCUUUAGACCAUUCUGAAUAUGUUGUACUGUCACAUGUUGUUAUGGGCAAACAUCUGAUUCAAGGUAUCGGUACUGUUAUGAUCAUACUGUUCUGGAUGUUGACAUACUUGAUGAAGUUGUCAACAGUAAGUCUUGAAAACGUUUUCGUUUGAAUGUCGUUUAUUUUGAAUUCGUACAUUGAUUAUGCUAGCUAGCUGCCAUGAAUAUUGUUUCCAAGUAUCAAGUGAGGAAGCCAUUGAAACCGCUCAGCAGCUUGCCCAUAAAGAAGGGUUGCUGGUAUGUACAAUAUAUGUAUGUGUUCACAAUUUUCAACUAUUGCUUUUAUUUAGUUCUUCCCUUCUCUUGUGCCAGGUGGGAAUAUCUUCUGAUGCUGCCGCUGCAGCUUCAAUCAAGGUAGCAAAGAUCCCCGAAAAUGAUCGGAUACUCAUCGUUGUAAGUUUGAUUUCAUAUAAAUUGUAUUUCAGUUUCUGUAUUAACAGUUUGGUCAAUCAAAGUCCAUGUCCAUUCUGCUCUCUCCACGAAGCAUGCCACCAAUUUCUUCUUCCAAGUGGUGGAGAGCGUUACCUAUCCACAGAACUGUUUGAUUCUAUCACGCACGAGGCAGAAACAUGUCUGUUGAUUCAAGUGUCAUUCAAAUAGUACAAGUGUACAACUAAUCAAAUAAUCAACAGAGAAUGCCAUUUUCUUUAACUUUUAUAGAAGUCAUUGUUUUCCCAAUUGUGUUAUCAUAAAACUUUGACCAAACAAAAAUAUUUGAAAUUAAUAUCAAGUUGUGGGAUUAUUGCUGACGUGAUGAUAAGGUGAUGAAGGUGAUUUUAAGAUAAUAAAAUUAAUGUGACCACUACUUAUUCGACUAAAGGAGCCGCUGCUCCGUCAAGUGGCAGAGAUGAAUUUUGGACACGCACACAACCAGAUCAAUGAGAAAAAACGACAGUGAUGUUGAGUGAGCUAAUAAUGGCUGCUUAAUUUUCAAUUUGCUGGUUCGCAUGCUACCAGUCAAUAUGCGGCUUAGCUUAUCCGCAUUUUAUUCAUUCAUUAGCCGACCAAGCUAAGAGAGUGGCCAGUGCGGGCCUUGCGUGGCUCAUGCAUUCUUAUUGCGCAUGCUAAUGUUAUGAGUGUCUCUAAUAUAAAAACUAAAUUAUUCUUUUUAGUGUUUGAAAGAAAAUAAAUAAAUAAAUGUAUACCAAGAGUUUGAUUGGCUUGAGAAUUUUUAUAUUUGUAAAAAGAAAAAUAGCAGAUAAUUUUUUUAUAUUCUCAACUUUUGAUACAUAAAUUUUGAAAAGGGGAUGUCUUUUUCUUAGUGAUAUUGGGUCUAUGGUGUGUCUAAAUGACUAAAUGUUCAUACAAUUAUAGCAUAGUUUGCAGUCCACUAAAUUCAGUAAAUGGUUAAGCUGUCACUUCUAUUAAUAUUUACAAAGGAGGAAUAAGUACGUACAGAAAUUCAAUCUGGUUCCCAAAUAGAGAGGAGUGUUUUAUUAUCCACCAAUGACCGCCUAAAAAAAAAAAGAAAAUCUAGUUAGGUGACAUUUAUUUUUUCUUUUUUAAAUGUUAAAUAGAAUUAAUGGAAUAAUAUAGAAUAACAAAAUUUUAAUGUUUGACGUAAUUAAUUAUGACCAAUAAUUAAAAAUAAAAAUGUAUUAUAUAUAAUGUGAUUUAUGUUAAUUAAUAACUCAAAUUUUUUUAAUGAUUCAAAAUGUUAUUGAUGUCUUAUAUUUCAAUGAUAAAUAUUUACUUUUUACUAUAGAUAUUCAGUUGUAUGAUUCGUUUUAAUUUAAUGAAAAGGUAAGGGUGGACAGAGCUUAUUCUAAAUUUUGAUGGCCUAACCCUAGCAAAAUACAAAUUUAAACUGCUAGCCAAACAAAAAGGUUGAAAUUAAAAACCAUUUGCUUCUGAAUAAGUCCGUCCCCAGUACCCGAUGCAAGAAUCAAGUACAUAUUGGUGAUUGGGAAAUAGACAUGAACUCUACUUUUGGCGGGUAACCAGCUUUUGUAACUGUUUUUUGAAGGCAUGGGAGACAAGUGGUUUUAAUUUUUCAAAUUUCUUUUUCACUUGAAAUUGCUAAGAAUAUUACGAAUUUUUUAGUUUUUUUUAAGUGGGUUGGAUUUACAUAAUUUAAGGAGAAGAUAUGACCGUCCUUUUGAAGUUUCGUAAUUGUAAUUAGUAAGACGAUACAAAUUUAAAAAUAAGUCCUCACUCAUCUUAUAAUUUGAACUAAUUAUAUAGUUAGCUUUCUUAUAUUUUUAAAAAGCAACAACGUCCUUAUUGUAUAUUUUAUUAAAAUCUACUUAAUUUCUCAUUUAUUUUUCACCACUUACAUGUUAGAUUUGUUUGAAUUUCAAGUUGAUAUCAAACUAAAAUUUUAUUUGGCCCUUGAAAAAUUUAUAUCUAGCAAUUAUGAAAGUAACAACAAUGAUAUUUUAAGGUUAGUUAGGUAAUUAGUUUAAACUAUAGGGACUAAGGAGCAAUAAUCAAAUAUUUAAAUGUUUUCAUAGGGGUUGCAUUUAUCAAGAUGGAGUGUCAACAUCGCUCCCCACAACGGCUAGAUAGAAAUGCAAUCCGACGACGGAAAUAUGCGGCUAUUAGCAAAACCGCACGCUGCAUAUUCGCUUUGGUCCUUGGCCACAAGUGCAAGAUUGUGCUUCUAGAUAUUUUUCAACUGCAUCUAUAAAAUGGCAUUAAUUAAUAUUCUCGACAGAUGAGUUUGCUUGUGCGUAAUUGCUCUACUUUUAGUGUAACUCUGGCCUCUAGCUGCUUUUGUGAUUCUCAUAAGCAACUGUGGUGGGUUAUUUAAAAUUUUUUGGCUUUACUUCUGCUCAUAUUAGUUUAUACUGAUUCUUGGUUGAGAAGUUAGUUAAAUUCUUUUGUUAAGUUGUAUCUACGUUCCAAGAAAUUCAUACCCUUUUUAAUUUGUUGUGCGGCACUUGUUAUGUUAGUUAUGGUGCUUGAAGCUUCCAUGGAAGACAACUACCACAAGCGUGCAAUUAAGAAAGAUGCAACUCAAGUAAAGUUCCUUCAGUACGCUAGCUUAUGCAUUCUAGCUAUAUGUCUUCCAUUUUCUCUUUAACUAUAUACACUUGAAUUAAAUUAAAGUCUUGCUAAUAAAGUGGGUGUCUGUGAACUGAACUUGUUCAGUUAAUAGGCAAUACGCCAAUGGUGUAUCUCAAUAAUGUUGUGGAUGGUUGUGUAGCCCGUAUUGCUGCCAAGCUAGAAAUGAUGGAACCUUGCUGCAGUGUCAAAGAUAGGUAUAUAUGCGACUUUUAGGCCCUAUUCCGUAUUGAGGUUGGGUAGAAGUUAUAACAUUAAAGUGUUUAGUAAAUACUAACUGUUAUUAUUUUAAAAUUAAGUUAAUUUGAUCCCACACUAGAAUGAAGAAAAACCUAUAAUAUUUUCUACUAUUUUUAUCAUAAUAUUGUUAUUUAAUAAUCAUAUUUUCUAGACACUAUCUACUUUAAUUUUAUGGUUAUAACUUUUUUUUUCCCUAUAACAGCUCUGGCUUAAAUAAUAUAACACCCCAAUAUCAAAACAGGGCUUAAUCACUAAUUGACUGCCUUUUUAAUGGUAUCACAAUGCUAAUUUGGUUAAUUUUUAAUGUUCAACAUGCAGGAUUGCGUUUAGCAUGAUCAAAGAUGCAGAGGAAAAAGGCUUGAUAACCCCAGGAAAGGUAUGCGGUCAAAAUUCUUCAUAUCAAAUGUCGCGCGUAUCAAUAGGACUACACAUUGCAGUGAAACUUGUGAACUGACAAAAUUUCUCCAUUUUGGAUACAUGUAAAGUCUGUCCUGAUUGAGACAACGGGUGGUAACACGGGCAUAGGAUUGGCCUUCAUUGCAGCACUAAGGGGUUACAAACUUAUCAUUGUAAUGCCGUCAAUAGCUAGUAUGGAGAGAAGGAUUGUGCUGAGAGCUCUGGGAGCUGAGGUUUAUCUUGCAGAUCAAGCUGGGGGCUUUGAGGGGAUUCUCAGAAAGGGAGAGGAGAUACUAAGCAAUACACCCAAUGGUUUUAUGUUUCGGCAAUUUGACAAUCCUGCCAAUCCUAAGGUUACAUUUAUGAUUCUGUUCUGUUAUAUUUGCUAAUUUAGAUUGGCGUUUCAAAAGGUUACAUUUAUGAAUCUCUUUUGUUUAUGACUGUAGAUUCACUAUGAGACCACUGGCCCAGAGAUAUGGAAAGACUCGGGAGGGGAUGUUGAUAUCUUAGUUGCAGGGAUCGGGACUGGUGGCACCGUGACUGGCUCUGGGAGAUUCCUCAAGGAGAAGAAUCCAAAUAUUAAGGUUAUAAUUUGUCUUCCUGGAAUUUGUUUGUGUGUGUUCUAAUGAUUACAUAGACGAAUGCUUGUUUUUCUUAUAUUGAGUAAUUUUAACAAAUGAAUCUUUUACUUGGAACUUAUUUUGUAAACCUACUCUUCUUAUGUUUAGGUAUAUGGAGUGGAACCAACUGAAAGUGCAAUGUUAAAUGGAGGACAACCUGGUCGGCUUUUGUUUUUUCUGUUUUUUUUUGUUUUUUUUUUGUUUUUUUUUUUUCCUUUUGGCCCUUUUAGAUGAUGGGGCUCUGCUUCCACAAGUAUGCAUGCAUAGUCUUUCUAGAUCUCCUUUUGGCCCUUUUAGAUGAUGGGGCUCCCUUUUGGCCCUUUUAGAUGAUGGGGCUCUGCUUCCACAAGUAUGCAUGCAUAGUCUUUCUAGAUCAAUACAUUUAAGAUGGGUACAUUUUUUGUUGCUUUGGUUUCCUUUCAAGCGUUGAUGAGAUGGGUAAUAUUCAAAGCUCAUGACGUGUUAUAGGAAAUCAUCUGAUCCAAGGUAUUGGUGCUGGUAUGAUCUCUAGCGUUUUGGAUGUUGACAUGCUUGAUGAAGUUCUUACAGUAAGUCAAGAAAACAUGUUGAAUGUUGCUAUUACUUAUUUUUGAAUUGACAUGUAAAAUUAAUGUUCUAGCACUAUAGUUACACCUGUCAUUAUCUUUGAAUUCUUGUCAUUGAUUACGCUAUCUGCCACUAAAUUAAAAUUCAUUCCAGGUAUCUAGUGAGGAAGCUAUUGAAACCUCUAAGCUGCUUGCCCGUAAAGAAGGGUUGCUGGUACAUAUACACAUGCUCUGUCUUUUGCUUAAUGGGCAUCCAAUUAAUGAGUUGUGCCGUGUAUUCUUGGCCUUUUCUCUUCUGAUUUUGGUGCUAAUUGUAGAUUGAUAUAACUCUUUGGCAGGUUGGAAUAUCUUCUGGUGCUGCAGCAGCAGCUGCUAUACGAAUAGCAAAGAGGCCUGAAAAUGCUGGGAAGCUCAUCGUCGUAAGUUUGAUUUCAUAACAAAUUGAUCAAUCUAAGUCAAUUUCUCAUUCUGUCAUCUAUGCUAAGCUACAAUAAAGCAUUGUUUCAAUAUAUAUAUAUAUGCAUGCAUGUAUGUAUGUUAAGCAUGCCGUUAAUUUCUUUAGCUUCUUGAGCAGGUGAUUUUCCCCAGUGCUGGAGAGCGUUAUCUAUCGACUGAAUUGUUUGAAUCCAUUAGAAUUGAGGCAGAAAACAUGACCAUUGAUUGAAAUGUCACUCAAGUUUCGGCCUCAAUUGAUUGAGGUGUUGUAAGAUAAAAGCUGAUGUGUGUUUAGUGAAUAGUGGUGUAAAAGCCAUCGGUAAAAAUUUGUCAUUCAACGGCGUUGAGGUUGCCGUUGAAUUGAAUCCAAUAGUGUCUUACACAAUUCUCAGUUUUAUUUUUUAUUUUUCACUCAAUACAAAUUUUAUUCCACAGCUUCAAAGAUUGUUUUCCAGCACAUUGCUCGAUCAGCGAGCGCGCCUCCAGUGAAAAGAAUUCACAUAAUUUAACUAGUCAAAAAAACAUCGGUAACUUAUGAGCUAGCAUUACUCCGAAACUUCCAACUAAACUUGGGAGACUCAUAAGCUAGCAUUACUCCGAAACUUUAACUAUACUUGGGAGGGGGCCGCGCGAACGCAGGCCCCCACUACCACAAAUUAUGACGUAGGCUCAGCCACUUUGGGCUGACCUUAGGCGGGUGCACCUCCGAAGUGCAAUGGAGGCCACCAACCUAGGCCAUGAGCCUUAAUGAUCGCCCAUUGACCCCGUCCAGGUAAGUAUGUUUUCAGGCUGCUUAGCAUUCCGUAUUUAUAUCUACUGUCAGAGCUACUACUGUCAUAUCUCCUCGAUGUGGGAUAACAUUGGUUUUGUCAGUCAUACUUUGUCAGCGUAAUCAGUCAUGAAGAGAAUAUGACCAGUUUUCUUUCUCGUAACUUUUCACGCUAUUACUUUCUGUGCAUGGAUGCUUUGUUACGAUUAUGAUCUGGAUAAAGCAAUAAUUAUGUGAUUUAUUAUGAGAACUAAUUCAACAUCAAUAUCUCCUCAUCGAAAGUAAAAAGAUUAUCAAAUUGAUUCUCGGUUAAGGUGGAGCAAGAUUGAAAGGAGUGAAUUGAGUUGAUUCCAAUAAAUCAAAUGCAAAUAAAAAAUUCAGAUGGAUGCUGGAUUAUAACUCCAUAAGGUUUUUUAUAUUUCAAAUACUUGUUACUCCAUUGUUAUAUAAAGUUUGGUUGCUGACUAUAUACAUGGAGAACGAAGUAGUACGAAUGAGAUGUUGCUGACAAUUUCGCCCUUCGAAAGCUUUAGUCUCAAUGGCGUUUCAUAAACUCAGAGUGAGUGUGAAUUCCUAGUGUUGGACGGGUGGGCGCCCAAGAUGGGCCGACCCGACCCGACCCACACAUGGUAACCAGUUGUUGGUUACCAUAUGCAUUAGGAAGAGAGAAGUUAAUUUGUGUUCAACUCCCAAACCGUUCCCAACCGUUGCUUAUAUACGCCACCAAAACUGUUGUUGUGAAGGUACGAGUUUUACCAUUCAUUCGUAAAAACAGUGUGUGGGUGAACAAAAUACAGAGAAGAUUCAUCUUAUUCUCUUCUUCAUCAAGAUUAAAACAAGAUUUUUGAAUAAUCCGUAAAAGACAUAUAUACUGUGACUUGAGGAAGAUUUCCGCUCGUGAUUUCUUUCCGACCAGUAACGUGAUCAACACCUAUUUAUUCCGCCGCAUAUUUCGAAAAAAAUAAGCCCUAUUGACUUUCUUUUAAGAAUUUCCAUCACCCAGAAACUGUGCACGACUUACCAAAUUGUCUAGCUGUCAAUGCUGUGAACUGUGAACCGAGAAAUUUCCAUUGAAAACUCAGGACUAUCUUGUAAAAGUACAUGUAUUUCACUAUUAUUUGACCGAAUAUUAUUGCUAGCUAAAGUACAUGCGUAGAAAGCCAACAGCCGCUUUGUAUUUAUAAAUGUUUCUUUUUCUUGUCUGCUUUCUCUUGUAUCCAUUGCAAAUAUAUAUGUAUUUGUACAUAUGCAUUAUCUCCUCAAUAGUUCACGUAUUGUGGGGAAAAGUUUUCCAUUACCAGGUUAGUAGUAUAAUGGUGUCUGGUCAUAUUUUAUUUUCUACUGCAGAUUUCACCUUGUUGAAAACUGCACUUCAAGACUCAUUCUUAUGCUGCAUAAAACUCUUUUUUUUUUUUUAAUGCUCAAGAAGCCUAUUGCUUUCCAAAUAUCUUCCCCAAAUUUUUUAAUUUUUUGUUCACCAUGUCAUUCAUCGGAUGACUUGCUUAUAUUUCUGUAACUGUACAGCUUCCAGGUUCUGGAUGCUAGAAAUUCUAGAAAAAGACAGUACUGAUAUCUUAGCUUUAGUUCUGUUUAUACUGAUUUCUUGGAAGUAAAUUUUUUCUCCGUCUGUUUUGUGCUCUGCCUAUAAUUUAGAGUGAUUCCUCAAUUGGGGUUGUUAAAUUUGUGAAUUGGGCUUGAUCUUGAGGAAAUGCUAUCUCCAUUCAAAGAAAUUUACAUCUCUGUUGCUGUGGCAUAUCAAGAUUGGCAGUUUGAUUUUGGAUAAGUGUUUGCGAAGUAGCUCCAUGGAGGACAAUAUUGCUAUUAAGAGAGACGUUACUGAAGUAAAUUUCUUUUAUUAUUAUUAUUAUUUUUUUUUUUCAAAAGCUUGGCUUUUGUCUUUGAUUACCAUAAUCUUGCUGAUAACGUGGGGGUAUGUGGGGUUGUCCAGUUGAUAGGCAAUACGCCAAUGGUGUAUCUGAACAAUGUUGUGGACGGUUGUGUAGCCCGUAUAGCUGCCAAAUUAGAAACGAUGGAACCUUGCUCCAGUGUCAAAGACAGGCAUACAGCAUACUAUAUUGUUUUCUUCGUAUCACGCUAAUCUUUAUAUUGGACUUCACUUCAUAUUGUUUUUUUAAUGUUUGACUUGCAGGAUCGCAUAUAGUAUGAUCAAAGAUGCAGAGGAUAAGGGCUUAAUUACCCCAGGAAAAGUAUACAAGAUAAACUUUCCAGUUAUUUAUGUUCAGUCAAGAUUAAUAAUUUGGAUCCAACCUAUUGCAUUUCUAAAAAAUUGAUAGCCACUUAUGUCUUGGGAAAGGGGGUUUUCAGCAGUUGUGGCAUUUUUCUUGUAGCUUUGCACACAGUUUUUGAGAAUACAAUGCUUGUUUGACAUGAUCAAGUUAUAUACAAGUCACUGUCAAUGCAAUACUGAUGCUCAAAUUAGUGACAUAUGAACUAACAAAUCUCCCUUCUGAAUAUGUUGAAUGAUAUGGAUUAAAAGACUACCCUCAUUGAGGUUACAAGUGGUAACACUGGCGUAGGAUUGGCCUUCAUAGCAGCAGCAAGGGGUUACAAUCUUAUCAUUGUAAUGCCAUCAACAUGUAGCAUGGAGAGAAGAAUUGUGCUCAGAGCUCUGGGAGCUGAGAUUAUUCUUGCUGAUUCAGCUCUGCGCUUUGAGGAGAUUCUUGCAAAGGGUGAGGAGAUACUAAAGAAAACACCAGAUGGUUAUUUGUUACGGCAAUUUGAAAAUCCUGCCAAUCCGAAGGUAUUAUGAUGGUUGAUAUGGUAAUGUAGGUUGGUUUUUGAAAGUGUAUAAGAACCUCUGUCUUCAUAUGUGUAGAUUCAUUAUGAGACCACUGGCCCAGAGAUAUGGCAAGACUCAGGAGGGAAGGUUGAUGCAUUUAUUUCAGGGAUAGGGACUGGUGGUACGGUGACUGGUGCUGGAAGAUUCCUUAAAGAGAAUAACCCAGAUAUUAAGGUUGUCUUGAGGGUAUUGCUCAAGAUAGUGUGUGAAACAAAGAGAACUAAAGCUCCUGAUUUAACAUUUUAAUGCUUUGCUUUCUCAUGUCUAUGUAUAGGUAUAUGGUGUUGAACCAUCUGAAAGUGCAGUCUUGAAUGGAGGACAACGCGGUUUGUUUAUUUUCAUAUCAUACCUUUUUCGUUCUUUUGUAUUAGUCGAUGAUGGUGCUGUGGUGCACUUGCACAACUAUCUGCUAUUGCAUAUCUUCACAUUAGUUUGCUAAUUAAUUUUCCUCAAACCUUCUGUAUGAGUACAAUUUCUUGAUUGGGGUACACUGCAUGCUGCUACAUGUUCUAGGCAAGCAUCUGAUCCAAGGUAUUGGUGCUGGUAUCAUCCCUUCUGUUUUGGAUAUUGACAUACUUGAUGAAGUUAUCACAGUAAGUCAUAAAAUUGAUCUUCAUCUACUACAUUUCUGCUGUUGUUCUUCUCCUACUCUGUCAUUUCAAAAGAAAAUUACUUAUAAUGGGGUUACAUUGUAAAAUGGGAAGUAAUUAUAAAGGAUUAGUACUAAAGAGCUUUUCCUGCUACCGUUGUCUUGAGUUCUGUCUUUGACACUGACAACAUCGGGAUAAAUAAACAAGUUCUGGGUGUGAAGAGGGCAAAUAAGGCUCCCAGACAAUUAAAUUCUUUUCACCGGCUACACUGCCACUAAAAAUUAUUUCCAGAUAUCAAGUGAGGAAGCUAUUGAAACUGCUAGGCUGCUUGCCUUGAAAGAAGGUUUGCUGGUAUGUUCAAAAACUUAAAGAUUGCUUGUAAGUUCUUACACUCCCUCUUUUGCUAUCCUUUUUCGGCCUCUAGAGCUCAUUAAAGCAUAAUUACUUGGCAGGUUGGAAUAUCUUCCGGUGCAGCAGCAGCAGCUGCUAUACGAUUAGCAAAGAGGCCUCAAAUGUCUGGGAAACUCAUUGUUGUAAGUUUGAUUUCCUUUUAGUUGCUACAUGUACUUAGAAAUCAUAUUGUACUUGACUUCGAUUCUCUAACAGCAAAGUUUGCUAAAUUUAAAUAUUAUUCAAUUCAUAAUCUGGUCUAAACCAAAUUAGCCAUGUCAUGUCUUUGGCUCCCUGUGCAGGUGAUCUUUCCCAGUGCUGGAGAGCGUUAUCUAUCCACAGCACUGUUUAAAUCCAUCAGACAUGAGGCAGAAAACAUGUCCAUUGAUUGAGAUAUCAAUCAAGUUUAUUUAAAAUGCACUGCAUAUCUUUAUGCUCUUUUGCCGCCUGAGUAUUGUAUCGAUAGACCAUGCACUAGGAAUGAAAGCUUAAUCUGAUUAAGGUUUAGAACGUGUUUUGAUAAAAAAAUUAUGUAUGGUCUUUGUAGCCAUCCAUUCACACUUGUUUGUUUCUUAUGGUUACUCAUUUCCUCUCCUUUUGAGUAUAUUUAGUUAUACAGCUUGCCAAAAGGUCGUUCCCAAUAUCUUUUCAGUAAUGUCCAAAGAGUGGAAACACUUCUGCCAUGCACAAUUAAACCAGCAACCAGGUACCAACCUCGAAUUUGUUUGAAUUAGAUUCCACCAACUGCUGUUUGACAAUGCGGGUUUUGCUAGCUUAUGGCUGCUUUUGAAUUUGUUGUUCCCUGUGUAUAGAAUCCUGCUGAUUGUUUUUUAUUUUCAUUAGCCAGCCAAAGCCGGAUUGGGGCCAGUGUCCUUGAUGCCAAGUUAAUGAUAAUGAACAAGUGACUAAUGUUUUGAAUCUCUUUAUAUAUAAUAACUAGAUAGCUCAAAUGAAAUCUAAUAGCUGUUCAGUUACUGAUUACAACUAAAUUUUGGAAUUAGUUUUCCUGUUAGCAACUAAUAGAUCCCAACCUUCACUGAGAGUGCUAAUUUGAUUUAUAUGAGAAAGAGGGAGGUGUUUAUUUGUUGUUUUAAAAAAAAAAUUAAUAAAUCCAAAUAUAAUUCCAUCCUCCAAAAAUUUAGAACGGUUUCUUGCUGUUUAUCUCAAUAAAAAGAAACCAUCCCCUUUGAUUACCGGAAAUGGGUAUCUUUCACGUCAUUCCUCAUAUGUAUAAUCACAUCAUUCCUCAUAAUGGUAACACAUUAUCCAUUACUUUAAUCACCUUGCAUCAUAUGACAUUUUGGCCCAGAAAAAAAUAUGUAGACAGCAUGAUAACAAGGCCACAAAAAAAUAAUAAAUUUUUUUAUUAAUUUCCUCUAAUAUUUUUAUAUUUUCAUUUUAAUUUUUACUAAAAUUGAAAUAUCAGAGAAAAAAAUGAUGUGGAAUAAGGAAAACAAAAAGAUUGGCGUGCAGUACAUUAUGGAUACAAAAUCUUAGAAAAAGAAAAUUUCUUUCUUCUUUCAGUCGUGUGUUAUGUUUUGGAAUAUAAAGAGUGAAAUUUACAUGAAUGAUAAAAUCUGUCCAAAUUUUUAUAUAUGAACGAAUUGUAUCAUGACUAAACCUAUACAAUUUGGUGAGAAAAGAAUUUUAUUUUUAUAUUUGAGUCUCCAUAUUUGACCCCUCAAAUUGUCUCCCUAACCCCAAUUUUCAAUUUAUUUUAUUAUUUUUAAAACUUACUCUUAUUAAAAAUAAAAAUAAAAAAUAAAAUUUUUUUACUCUAUUUUACUCCCUCUUCCCUCUUUCUAACAUGAGCAUCACCUUCACCAUAUAUUUCUAUCAACAAGAAAUUCAUUAUCAUCAUCACUACCAUCAACAUAUGAUGAGUUUCAAUUUAAUCUAAAUAAGUGGUGUCACAAUGGCGGUGUUAGGAAUUCAAAUGUAGUAAGGCUUAGUUCAAACAUAAUAUAAUUUUAAAAAAUUUCAAUAAACAACAAGUAUCAAAAUCAAUAUUUAUUAAAAUAUAUAUUUCAUUCAAUACAUUUACAACUGCUAAAAAAGUAUUUGCUAUGUUGAAAAUGUUGAAGGAUAAUCUCAGUUAUCAACACUACAAAAUGCAUUAUUUUUUAUUUAUAUAGUUAUACUACCAUUGAACCAUUGAUCUCCCAUCCUAUUGAAAUAUCAAUUCAUUCACUACAUUCAUUUAAAAUAAUUUAUUCAAUUACAUUUCAAGGCAUUAAAUGCAUGUUGUUUUAUACAUUAUUUUAUUUGAAAAAAUAAAAUGUGUUUUUACUUAUCCAAUUUAUUUUAUGUACCCUUAAAAUUUCAAUUAGAAAACAUGGAACGAACAACAAGCAAUCCGUUAGUGGAAAUAAUAGAAUGGAGUUGUUGUAAGAAAAGAAAGUCAAAACCAAAACGUGCCUUUAAACUUUAAUAUCUCAUAUUUUUUUAUAUAUUUGAAAUUUAGCAAGGGCUUUUAUAAUAAAUCAAGUUAAAAUUUGACAAAUAUCAAAAUUGGUUUAAAAAUUUUCAAAAGUCAAGCCAGGGCUUAGCCCCCACUAGCUCCAAAAUGGUACCAACCCUGAGUGGUGAGUUUUACUAUUAUUGAUGAUAUUGGUUUUGAUUUUGAGCAAUAACUUAACAUUUUGUUUAAUUCCAAUUUGAAUUUUAAUUAGGUGUUAGUAUUUUAAUUCAAAUUAUGAAUAAAUUAAAAAGAGAAAGGGAUUUGAGAUAUGAGAUGUUAAUCCAUUGAGAGUUUAAGAGAUAAAUAGAUAUUUAUUUUUUAAUUAUUUUUAUUUUUGAAUAAGGGUGAUUUUGAAAUAAAUAAUAUUAAUUGGAAAGUGGGGGCUGUGCAGUGGCGGACCUGCAGCAAGGCUACAGCCCGGUUAAACUUAGGAAAAAAUCAUUUAUACUCCUCAUUUUACCAUCAAUUAUAUACAAUAAUAGAGAUUUUAUUUUGUUUUCAUACAUGUCCCUAAUACAAUUAUUCUUAUAUUUUCAUUAAUUUUAUACUAUAAAAGAGUUUUUAUUUUAUUUUCAAAUAUAUCCUUAAUUCAAUUGUAUUUUUUUCCAAUUGAAAUUAGUGACUUAUUUGAUAAAAUGAGUAAAUUAUUACUUUAAUUUAUUUAAAAAAUUCUAAUUGAAAAAAAAGUAUGACAGUCUAAUAUAAAAUUGUCACUAGUAUUAAACAACUUAAAAAAACAACAUAUAGUAACAAUUAUCAACAUUUUCAUAAACUUUUUAUGUGAAUUUUGAUAUUUUAUUUAUUUGUUACAUUAACUAAGAUAACAUUUGAAUAAUUUGAGGAGCUUUAAUUUGAUAGAAAAAUCAUCAACAAUUGGUUCUUUAAAGAGAGUCAGAGCGUCUGGCAAAGAAACAACGACACCCAAAUACAUUUUUAUUGGGUUGAGUUUAGUUUAUUAUUGAAACUUUUGACUAAUAACAUUUUUAUAAUUUAAAAAGAGGAAUACAUUUGAAUUGUUUAAUUUAUUGAAACAUGGUAAUUAAGAACUUGACUUCAAUGUUGUGCAAAUUUUAAUGUACUCGCAAGCGCACGAAUCUAUUGUAGUAUAGAUCAAUGGUGACGAGUGUCGAUCCCACGAGGAGGUGGAUUUUAAUUGUGUGUAGAAUUAAUUUUGUAAAUGGGUGAUUGGAUUUGUGGUGGAAAUGAUUUGGAAUAUGUUAAAACUUAAAUUAAAAUGGCGAGAAUAAAUUCUAAAAUUGGAAUUGAAAUGGCGAGAAUAAAUUGAAGAGAAUUCUAUUGAAAUGAGGUACAGCAGACCAUCAGAAAAGAAACUCAUCCCAUCAUCAGAAGCACCACCGAAACUCGAGCCCAAACUAUUACCCCACACUUUGGAAUAUGCAUUUUUUGGAGAAGAAAGUAUUCUAUCGGUAAUCAUCUCAUCAUCCCUAAAUGACGAACAAAAAAGUAAGUUGUUAGAUGUUUUAAAAGAGCACAAAGGAGCAUUAGGAUGGACCAUAGUAGACAUCAAAGGUAUAAACCCAGUAGACUGCAUGCAUUACAUUCACCUUGAUGAAAAUGCUAAACCUUCAACCCAAGCUUGAAAGAAAAUUAGCCACUCAUAAUUGAACUAGGGGCAAAAUAGGAAUUUAUUAAAAUACGUAGAAAAUACAAGAUGAAGAAGGAAUUACAGAAAAUAGAGUCCAAAAAUAGAUUCAGAGACUAUCAAAUUAGGGGGGGGGAAGCCCCUUUUUUAUAGAUACAUGGAGUAAAUCAUGACCAUCAAAUUAAAAACAGUUUGGACGCUCAGGAUUGCGCCAUGUCAUCAGUCAACAGUACGCGGUUUGACCACGUGGAUGAACAGUACACACGGUUUGACCCGGGUGAACAGUGACGCGGUUUGGUUGAAAAUAAUCCUGUGUGAUGCAUGUACCGUACGCGAGAUUUUUCGACGUAAAUUAGAGGAGAAGAGAAAAUAAAUUUACCAAAUAAAGCCCAUGGCACAUGUUGAGACUUCACCUUCAACCCAAGCUUGAAAGAAAAUUAGCCACUCAUAAUUGAACUAGGGGCAAAAUGGAAAUUUAUUAAAAUACAUAGAAAAUACAAGAUGGAGAAGGAAUUACAGAAAAUGGAUCCCAAAAAUGCAUUCAGAGCUAUCAAAUUAGGGGGGGGGAAGCCCCUUUUUUAUAGAUACAUGGAGUAAAUCAUGGCCAUCAAAUUAAAAACAGUUUGGACGCUCAGGAUUGCGCCAUGUCAUCAGUCAACAGUACGCGGUUUGACCACGUGGAUGAACAGUACACACGGUUUGACCCGGGUGAACAGUGACGCGGUUUGGUUGAAAAUAAUCCUGUGUGAUGCAUGUACCGUACGCGAGAUUUUUCGUCCACUGAUAUGCUGCCACGUCACCAUCAACAGUACAUAAGAAUUUUAGCCCAACAGGAUCGUGACACCUCAUUAGUCAAUGCCACAUCAUUGGUCAAUGCCACGUCAUCGAUCCGUCUAUGGAAACAGUGUCAUGAACAGUAACGUAGACAGUACCGUAUACGUGAAUAGUACCGUACAUGUGAAUAGUGCCAUUUGUCCUUUUAUGCUCCUCCAAAGGUUUUCGACCGUCCUGAGUUCAAAAGUGAUGUCCGUUUUGCCGUCUGAUCUCUCGUUUAUUGUGAAAUGACCAUGAUACCCCUAAAAUACAUAAAAUACUUAAUUAAAAUCAAACACACAUAAUUAAAUUGCAAGAAGCUUAAAUACAUAAAAGUAAGGGUUGUUAGUAAAACUUGAAAUGUAAAAUGAUGAUUUUCUCCUUUAUAAAUAUAUAUUUUAUAACACUCAACAUUCAACAUUAAAGUUUUACUUACAAUUUUUAAUUGAUUGUAAUUACAUGUAUUCAUUUAUUUCAGCUUAAAAUCCUUAAUUAAUAUAUUAAUCCUUAUAUAAUCCUUGUAUAAUUACAUUUUAUUAGAGUCAGAUUCCAUAAUUGUAAAAUAGUGUUUUUAUUUUUUAAUUGCCUUUGUUUUCUACUCUUUUUAUAAAUUAUUUUUGUUUAAAGUACGUACUUAUAUGGAUAAGAUUUUUCGUGUCCCUCUUAUUUGAUGCACUUUUUUCUAUUUAUAAAUUUUUAUACUCACUUUAAAAUAUAAAUUUUUUUAAUUUAGUCCGGGGGUAAUACAAAUUUAUGGGUCCGCCCCUGGGGCUGUGUAUUUCAAAGUUUAUAUUUACUUGAAAUUUUGACACUCGACAAACUUAAGAGAUUUUUUUUAAAUAAAAAAUGAAAAGACAAUAAGUUUUUUAUUUUAAAACGAUACAAAUUAGAAUCUUACUAUUAACUUGUCAACUUUAUCCAUCGUUAAAAAAAAAAUUUUUACCAAAGAUUUCAACUUUUAGGUAGUAAUAUUUAAAUUAUGGGUCCGCCUACGUUACAUGUAGUGUAACGUACACUCAGCCUGUGCAAUUUCAUCUAGCCCCUUAUACUUUCUGUUAUUUAUAUUUUAUUCAUAAAUAUUAUAAAUUUUUUGAAAUGUACAAUUUCGUUUAACCCCUUAUACACUCAAUUUUAUUUUAUUAAAACCCUAGAGUAUGAAUUCGCCCCUAUAAUAAUAAUAAUCAAUGAUAAUUAAUAUAUUUAUGAUUAUAAUAAAAUAUGAAAGGAGAGCGGAGACUUUUAUUUUGAAUAAACUAGUUCCGAUUAACAUAUUUAUGAUUAUAAUAAUAUUUUUUGAGUUNNNNNNNNNNNNNNNNNNNNNNNNNNNNNNNNNNNNNNNNNNNNNNNNNNNNNNNNNNNNNNNNNNNNNNNNNNNNNNNNNNNNNNNNNNNNNNNNNNNNNNNNNNNNNNNNNNNNNNNNNNNNNNNNNNNNNNNNNNNNNNNNNNNNNNNNNNNNNNNNNNNNNNNNNNNNNNNNNNNNNNNNNNNNNNNNNNNNNNNNNNNNNNNNNNNNNNNNNNNNNNNNNNNNNNNNNNNNNNNNNNNNNNNNNNNNNNNNNNNNNNNNNNNNNNNNNNNNNNNNNNNNNNNNNNNNNNNNNNNNNNNNNNNNNNNNNNNNNNNNNNNNNNNNNNNNNNNNNNNNNNNNNNNNNNNNNNNNNNNNNNNNNNNNNNNNNNNNNNNNNNNNNNNNNNNNNNNNNNNNNNNNAUUAAUUAUAAUGCUUUUUAUUCUUGUUAUUAAUAAUAACAAUAAUCUAUUAAAAAAAUAUUUAUGAUUAUAAUAAAAUAAUAAUUAUAAUUAUAAUUCAUUUAACAAUAAUUAUAUUUUUUAAUUAAAUAGAGGUUAUUUUGAGAAUUUAAUAUUAUAGGGGCGAAUUCAUACUCUAGGAUUUUAAUAAAAUAAAAUUGAGUGUAUAAGGGGUUAAACGAAAUUAUACAUUUCAAAAAAUUUAUAAUAUUUAUGAAUAAAAUAUAAAUAACAGAAAGUAUAAGGGGCUAGAUGAAAUUUCACAGGCUGAGUGUUCGUUACACUACAUGUAACGUAGGCGGACCCUUAAAUUAUACCCUCCACCUUAUUAAGUCUAAUUCCAAGUAUUCAACAUCAGUGAGUACAAUGUCAAAGUCUACUAAUGACUCUGUAUAAAAAUAUCAAUAAAUAUAAGGGUCCGCCUACGUUACAUGUAGUGUAACGUACACUCAGCCUGUGAAAUUUCAUCUAGCCCCUUAUACUUUCUGUUAUUUAUAUUUUAUUCAUAAAUAUUAUAAAUUUUUUGAAAUGUAUAAUUUCGUUUAACCCCUUAUACACUCAAUUUUAUUUUAUUAAAAUCCUAGAGUAUGAAUUCGCCCCUAUAAUAUUAAAUUCUCAAAAUAACCUCUAUUUAAUUAAAAAAUAUAAUUAUUGUUAAAUGAAUUAUAAUUAUAAUUAUUAUUUUAUUAUAAUCAUAAAUAUUUUUUUAAUAGAUUAUUGUUAUUAUUAAUAACAAGAAUAAAAAGCAUUAUAAUUAAUNNNNNNNNNNNNNNNNNNNNNNNNNNNNNNNNNNNNNNNNNNNNNNNNNNNNNNNNNNNNNNNNNNNNNNNNNNNNNNNNNNNNNNNNNNNNNNNNNNNNNNNNNNNNNNNNNNNNNNNNNNNNNNNNNNNNNNNNNNNNNNNNNNNNNNNNNNNNNNNNNNAUUGUUAAUAGAUUAAUUAUAAUGCUUUUUAUUCUUGUUAUUAAUAAUAACAAUAAUCUAUUAAAAAAAUAUUUAUGAUUAUAAUAAAAUAAUAAUUAUAAUUAUAAUUCAUUUAACAAUAAUUAUAUUUUUAAUUAAAUAGAGGUUAUUUUGAGAAUUUAAUAUUAUAGGGGCGAAUUCAUACUCUAGGGUUUUAAUAAAAUAAAAUUGAGUGUAUAAGGGGUUAAACGAAAUUGUACAUUUCAAAAAAUUUAUAAUAUUCAUGAAUAAAAUAUAAAUAAUAGAAAGUAUAAGGGGCUAGAUGAAAUUUCACAGGAAAAAUAUAAGGGACUAGAUGAAAUUGCACCGGCUGAGUGUACGUUACACAACGUACACUACAUGUAACGUAGGCGGACCCUAAAUAUAAAUGCUUGUUACCCCAUUAUGGCAUCAUCUGAAUUGAAUGCAUGAAUGAAACCAGAAAUUUUUUUUUUUUUUAAAAAAAAAUGUUAAUAAGGUGUUGUCACUCACACUUGCAAUUCAGAAGAAUGAAAUAAAACACGCAACAAAUGAGUCUCGGCUGACUUUAGAUUAGAUAAUGAAGCGACACGCAACAAGUUUUGUUAGACAGUCUUAAACUUUUGAGCCUUCACCGUGUGUCACGUUGUUAACUUCUGCAGUCAAGAGGAAGUUCAGGUUCCAUUCGACACCGAGGACAAUCUUGUAAAAGCCUCAUCAGACGACAAACACUUUCUAAUAUUUGAAAUUUUUGCUUUUCAUGUUUGUUUCCUUCCGGGUGUGUGAUAUAUAUACGUAUAUGUUUAUCUUCAAUGUCUGAUGCAUAACGUGUUGCAGAGAAAAGGUUACACCAGGUGCGUAAAUUGGUCUGAUUAUAUAUUUCCUCUCCUCUGGGAAUUUCCCUAUGAACCAAAACUGGAUUUCUAGGUUGUUUCUUGCAGUCCAUGACUCUCAAAUUUUACUUUAUUUUAGGUUCAUAUUGUUUUGUUUUGUUUUUUUUUUAGUGUUUCUAGUAUAGGCUGCUUUAAAUUCUUGUAAUUAGAAGUUUUAAGGUAUGGUUCUGCAUUUUGAUUCUUGCUUGGGACAUACAAGUUUCUCACAAUAUAUUUUCUCUGUUCGGUGCUCAAUUUAUAAUCUUGGUUAUCGAUAUUAAAUACCCAUUUUGAGGUAUAAGGUGCUUGGAAUUCGGUUAGCUCCUUUGAGGUAUUGGGCUACUUGACAAAAUUUAAUUUGCCUUGAGACCUUUAAAGAGCAAGAAUAGUGGUACUCUUGAAAGGAAAAUGGUGAAUGAAACUGUAUUUGCAACUGAGUUCUGCUCUAUCUUGAUCUUUAGGAACUGGUAUCUCCAUUCAAACUGCCAAGUGCUAGGCUGGCUGCUUGAUUUUUUGAAAGUUUUUGGUGAAGUAGCUCCAUGGAGGACAAGUGUGAAAUUAAGAAAGACGUUACGGAAGUAAUUUUCUUCACAUAACUCAUGCUUUUGAUCUCGCCUUUUGUCUGUGAUUACGGUGAUCUUGCUUACGAUUUGGCUGUAUUUUGCUCGUUCAGUUAAUAGGCCAUACACCAAUGGUGUAUCUCAAUAAUGUUGUGGAUGGUUGUGUCGCCCGUAUUGCUGCCAAGCUAGAAAUGAUGCAACCUUGCUCUAGCGUCAAAGACAGGUUAACGACAUUCUCAUUUGUUAAUCGCUAAUUGGUUGUAUUUGUUGGCAAAUGUGGGCAUAUGAUGCUAAUAUUCUAUUGGAAGUCAUAGAUUUGGUUUUCAAUGUUUUCACAUGCAGAAUUGCAUAUAGUAUGAUCAAAGAUGCAGAGGAUAAGGGCUUAAUAACCCCAGGGAAGGUAUUCGAUGGAAAUUCUCCAAUUCUAAAGUUGAUUAAUCAUAAAAAUUAUGCUAUGAACUCAGUUUUUUUGUUUUCAGUCAACAUUAAUAACUUCAACCAAGCCCAUCCUGCUUCUUAAAAUUUUAAGAGUCUCUUGUGUUUUCCAAGACUUCUGUUAACUAACAAAUUUGCCGUCUGGAUAUGUUGGAAUGUUGAUGGUUAAAGACUGUCCUCAUUGAGCUAACUAGUGGAAACACCGGCAUUGGAUUGGCCUUCAUUGCAGCAUCAAGGGGUUACAAACUUAUCAUUAUAAUGCCAUCAACAUACAGUAUUGAGAGAAGAAUAAUUCUCAGAGCUUUGGGAGCUGAGGUUUAUCUUGCAGAUCCAGCAGUGGGCUUUGAGGGGUUUGUUAAAAAGGGUGAGGAGAUACUAAACAGAACACCUAAUGGUUAUAUUCUUGGACAAUUUGAAAAUCCCGCGAAUCCGGAGGUACACUUUUCGUUGAUAUUACAACAUAGGUCUGCAUUUUAAAGGGUUUAUUAAUCUGUUUAUUGUCAAAUGUGUAGAUUCAUUACGAGACAACUGGCCCAGAGAUAUGGAACGACUCAGGAGGGAAGGUUGAUGCUUUUAUAGCAGGGAUAGGAACCGGUGGUACUGUAACUGGUGCGGGGAGAUUCCUUAAAGAAAAGAACCCAAAUAUUAAGGUUACCUUGAGGGUAUUGUUUGAGUAUGUGCAAGCAUGACUGGGAAAGAUAGAAAAAGAGGUUCUGAUUAUUCAUUCUAAUGCUUUCUUUUCUAGGUAUAUGGUAUAGAACCAUCUGAAAGUGCAGUCUUGAAUGGAGGACAACCUGGUUAGUUACUCUUUUUCUUUUCUUUAAGAUAUAUAAUAUCAUUUAUUUGUUUCAUGCCAUAUUUUGUUGUUUAUUUUCUUUCGUAUCCACAUUGCAUAAUUUUACAUUUGAAAGAUUUUAUGUGGUUUAAAGCUGAGUGCUUGCAUCAGCACAUUGGGCGAUAGCACAUUUUUAGAAUCUCAUUGGUGUCAGAAUUUUGUCAGAACACCAGCAGCCUUAUGACUCUUAUCAUAUUUGACAAGAUUAGAAACUUUUGGGCAGUAUUUUCUUUGUGAAUACGAAAGGUUCAUUGAAUAUUCUUGUUUUUCCUGUUUUAUUCCAAGUUCUGUUUUGAAGACUUCAUAUGAAUACUUUCACCUGAGCUGCUGCAUAUAUUUUCUUCUACACAUUUCUGAGAUUAGUAUCAUUUCCUGAUUGGUGUACAUCGCAUGCUGCAACAUGUUAUAGGGAAGCAUCUGAUCCAGGGUAUUGGUGCUGGUGUCAUCCCUCCUGUUUUGGACGUUGCCAUGCUCGAUGAAGUUAUUACAGUGAGUAUUAAAAUCCAAUUUUGGGUUAGUUACUUCAGAUUGGGUGAUUGGCACGUAAAAUUUAUUUUGCAGUGCUAGAUUUCUGUCAUUUGUUCUCGCAUUUUAAAUAAACUUACUCAUAAUUGACUGUAAAAAUACUUUUCAGGUAUCAAGUGAGGAAGCUAUUGAAACUAGUAAGCUGCUUGCCCUGAAGGAAGGUUUGCUGGUGCGUUUAUGUUUUAAAUAUUGCUUUUAGUUCUUAUGCUCCAUCUUUUCCAUUCUAUAAUUUCUAUUCCAGAUUUUGUCCCUUUGAUUGCUAGCCGUCAGUCAAUUCGUUGGCAGGUUGGAAUAUCUUCUGGUGCAGCAGCGGCAGCUGCUAUACGAGUAGCAAAGAGGCCUGAAAAUGCAGGGAAACUCAUUGUUGUAAGUUUGAUUUUCUUUGCUAAAUAUAUAAACUGUACUUAGUGUAAACAGUUUACAAUUUUGUAAUUUGUACUAAACUAUACUAACCGUGCCAUUUCUUCGGCUUCCUGUGCAGGUGAUUUUCCCCAGUGCUGGAGAGCGUUAUCUAUCCACAGCAUUGUUCGAAUCCAUUAGACACGAAGUGGAAAAUAUGCCCAUUGAUUAAGACGUCACCAAGUUUAGUAAGCAGCUGCCUGAAUUUGGGACAAACAUCCCUGCAUUUUCCGUAUGUGCCAGCCUAUAUUUACUUACUCUUUAUCGACUGUAUUUUAGUUCUUCUGAUGCUGUGACGGCUAGGUUCUAGAGAAUGGAACUAAGCCUUCAGCACAAGAAGAUUCAAUAAAUUUUGUAUGUAAAAUUGCAAUUUAGACAACCAAUCUGCUAAGAAAGCAAUGCAUUGUAAAAUAAUCUCAAAUUUGCUUCCCUUUGCUAGCAAGGUUUGGACAAGUUUGACAGAUAGUUGUUUGUUGUUAUUUGCAAGCAACUUAAAUUCUGCAAUGAAAAUUAAACUUUAAACGCACCUAAAUUUGAAAACCAAAUGAAACAAUUAUGAUCACUAAUGACAGUUUAGUUUAGUUUAAUUUCUUUCCCAUUACGAUUAUAUUUUUUUUAUCAAUUUAGGGUUCUAAUUCUAUUAAAAUUAAGAUUGUGUUGAACUAUUAUAAAUAAGUGGUUCUUAACAUGUGUCUUAGUAAAUAGUAAUAAAAUUAAUUCCAACCCAUAUUAAUUUCUCUCUUCCUUCUAAAUUUUUGAAUUCUUCAUCUCCUCUCCCCUAACAUCUGGCAUCAGAACAUAUUUUUCCAAGCCACCAAUUUUUCUUUUUCUGUUCAACUAAAAAAAUCUUCUCUCCCCUAACAUCUGGCAUCAGAACAUAUCCCUUCAUUUUUAUUGUUAGCUUUUCGUAAGUCAAUUAAUUGCUUUAAUCAAGUUUAUUCCACCAACUAAUUUUGACUUUUAUGAGUUACGGCCAUAAGCCAUCAACCGAACCCACCAUUAGCCUCAACAAGCUCCAGCAACCACACCUAAACUAGUGCCAUCAUCAACCGUCGACCAGCAACAGCACAACACCGAAUUUCUUGAUAAUUUUUUUAGACAUCAUGAUCGUUACCGUAAAGAAAAAGUUGCGCAACCGUCACAAAUUAGUAAAAAAUUUGCAGUGUUAGGGUGUGUUUGGUAUUGUUUUCAAAUUUCAUUUUUUAUUUUUUGAAUUUAGAAAACACUAAAUACGUGUUCAGUAGCUCGUUUUUGAAAAUGAAAAAUUCAUUCUACAUUUUUAACAAAAGAAGAAAACAAUUUUUUUCUUAUUUUUCUUAUUUUCUAAUAUAGUAUUAAAUUUCAAAAUGAACAAUUUUCUUCCAUCACCUCACAAAACAAUAAUAAUAUCAUCAUCAUCAUCAUCAUCAUUAUUAUUAUUUCUUCCAAAAAAUCAAUUUCCCUCACAAUAAUCUUUUCUUGUUAUAUACAUUAUAAUAUUUAUAUUUUUAUAUCUUAAUUAAAUCAAAUAUGCAGAGUUUAUAAUUUUUCUUUAAAUAAAAAAUUAACGAGAUCAAUAAGAUCGCCUAAUUUAUUCUUAAAAUUAAAAUAAUCAAACUGAUUAAAUAAUAAAAAUAAUUAUUCAUUACUUAAUUUUAAGUUUAUGCAAAUUAUUCCAAUAAUAAUUCUUUAAAAUAUUCCUACUGAACAUAUUUUACUUUUUUUAUUUUUAAGAUUAUUUUUAAAAAUAGUACCAAACAUAUUUUUUAAUUUUAAAAAUAAAUUUGAAAAUAACAUUUUCAUUUUUAUUUCAUAAAAACAACAUUUGAAAAAUAAUAUUAAAUAGAGCCUUAGCUGCCCAGAAUAACAUUUUUAUCUGCUGUACGGCCAAGGCCUAAUACAAUGCUAAUACAAUACAACAUAAUACAAUAUAUCAGCAUUAAAAUAAUGCAAUACAGCAUAAUACAAUACAGUGUACCAAACACACCCUCAAAAUACUUCUAUGGGACAUUCUUGAAGGCCAGUUGUGCAUGGCAGCAUAACUAUCUCCUAGUCCACAUGAAGUUGGCAUGUUAGAAUGCAGGGACUCCACCCAUCAACUAUCAGCCAGCAACACCACAACCCCGAAUUUUCUUGAUAAUUCUUUUUAGACAUCAUUGUGUUUACCGUACUUAAAGAAAAAAAUAGUGCAACCAUAUCAAAUUGAUGAAAAAUUUACAGUCUUAGCUGCUCAAAAUAACGCUCUCAAGGCACUUCCACAAGACAUUCUUAAAGGAUUAGGCCAGUUGUGUGCAAGGCAACACAACCAUCUCCUCGUCCACACAUGUUAGAAUGCAGGGACUCCACGAAACUCUUUAUUUGCCAGCAUUGUGACCAUUCCAGAGAGGAGACAAUUCAUGUUCUCAUCAAGGAUUCACACUCUUAAAUUCUAGCCCUCCGCAACCCUGGACUAGAACCGACACCCACUCCACCAGUCCUUUCUUUAUUGGGACCAAUACCCUCUGCAUUACCCAAACAUUUAUCAACAUCUAUACAUGCUGAGAGACAUUCUACAGAGGUUUGUUUUAAUUGUGAUGAGCAACUUAAGCCGGAGCAUUAUUGCAAACAACUUCAACUAUUGCCUUUAGCAGCUGAUGUCUCCAUUUAUCAUCAGUCUAAUACCUCAGUGGUUUUCAUUCUGUCAGCACACUUUUUCGAUUGGAAGCCACUAACGACUAUUUGAAUUGAAAAAAAUUGGUUAUUGAUCUUGGCCAGAAGGCUUGCAUGGGAAAUGUUACCACCCUAAUAGUUUAUUUUUAUUUCUUUUCUAUUAGGGCUAGGAUGACAAUAGGCACUAAUUGCCAUGGGUUUGCGAUACUAAACCUCGUACCAGCACAAAAUUUAAAUUACUAAACCUAACUGUAAUUCACUGUGAGUUUUAAUUUUUUUUUUUUUAAGAAAGACCACCUACUAUGAAUUUUGAUUAUUAUCAAACCAAUAAUGGCACCGAACAUAAUUUUUUGCAGGUUCUCAUAUUUAGAAUUACAAAUGUUCAACGUGUAAAAUUAUAACAACAACCUGAAAUAGUAAAAUUAAACAUAAAAUACUUAAUUUUAAAUUUAAUUAAUGUAAAUGAAAAAAAGGAAAAUUUCAACAUAAAUCCAACAAUAAAUCAAAUUUAAGUAUGAAAUGCAUAAGUCCAUUAAAAUUCAAAAGUGCUUUCAAUUAAUUAAAAAAAAACACAACAAUGGCAAAGGCAGCAGCAAUGGCUACAUAAUCAGCAACGACGGUAGCUCUAAAAUCACCGGUAGAGGCACCAACAACAACAAAUAGCUACCAAAUCAAUGAUAGCGGCGGCUACAGAAUUAACAGCCCUUACAAUAGCUGCAACAGUAUGGUGCUAUUGUCAGUAAAGAAGAGAGUUGGGCACUGGCUAUUUGGAUUGAGAAGGGAGUUAGGUAGCAGGGUAGUGUGCGACUCAUGGUCACGACUGAAGGUAGAUGACAUAUCGGUUUCCUUUAGUUUACUUAAAGAUGAGAGAUCGACUGAAGAAGUAGAUGGACUUUAUGGGUUACACGUUGUAGCUGCGCGCACGUUUACACAUUUUAUAUAUUUUUAGGUCUACAUAUUUUUAAUUAAAAUUUUAAAAAAUAUUUGAAAAAAAGUGUAGGUUUGGCGGAUACUUAUGCAGGUGUCCAUUGAAUAUUUAAUUAAUACCAUACCCACCAGCAUUUAGUACGGAUUUUGAUUUGUAAUACUAAAUUUAUCUGCAACCUGUAAAAUUAUUUAUAACAAGUGAGUUUGCAGGUACCAUUACCAUCCCUAAAAUUAAGUUUUAUAAUUUAGGAUUCUAAUUAAAUUAGAAUUAAGAUUGCGUUGAGCUAAUAUAAAUAGGUGGUUCUCAUUUUAUUUUUGAGUAGAUAUUAAUAAAAUUAAUUCCAACACAUAUUUAUUUUUCUCUUUUCUCUAUAAAUUCUUACUUCUUCAUCUCUUCCCUAUUGAAUUCUCUCUUCAAAGUCCUACAACCCUAACAUUGAUCAAACACUCCAAUUAAAAUAAUAUUAAUUAGGUGUUGUUAGACUUGCAAUUGAGAAGAAUUAAUAAAACACACAAGAAAUGAGCCUCUAACUUUAGAUAAUGAAGUAACAUGUAAAAAGUUUUGUUUGACGAUUUUACCUCCCAAAAACUUUGAGCCUUCAAUGGUGUCAUAAUGUUAAUUUCCGCAGUCAAGGGAAAGUUCAGGUUCCAUUCUCCACUAAGGACAAUCUUGUAAAAGCUUAACCUGACAACGACCACUUUCUAAUAUAUAAAAUAUUUUUAUUUUUCAUGUUUGUUUACUUCCGAGUGUGUUACAUAUAUUGUAUAUAACAAUAUUGCAGUGAAAAAGUUACAUUACCAGGUAAGCAAAAUGGUCCAAUUAUAUACUUUCUCUCCUCUGGGAAUUUCCCAAUGAACCAAUACUGGAUUUCUAGAUUGUUUCUUGCAGUCCAUGAUUGUCAGAUGUUACUCUAUUUUAGGUUGAAGUACUGAUUAUGUUCAUUCUUUGGAUGACAUGCAUAUAGUUUUGUAUUUUUCAGUGUUUCUAGUAUAGGCUGCUUUAAAUUCUAGUCAGAAACAGUACUGGGUAAUCAAAAGUUCAUUAUUUUGAUUCUUGCUUGAGACAUACAAGUUUCUCACAACAGUUUUUCUCUGUUCUGUGCUUAAUUUACAAUCUUGGUUAUAAAUAUGAGACAUAUUUCCCAAAUGGGUUUUUUCAGCAAUUGGCAAGUUUCUCAAGAAUAUAGCACAUUUUGGAAUCGAUUCCUUAAUUGGGAUUGUAAAUUUUGUGAAUCCGCUCCUUACCUGUUGGAGAUAUAAGGUGCUUGGGAUUAGGUUAGCUCCUUUAAAGUAUUCUGCUACCUGACAGAAUUUAAUUUGCCUUGAGAUCUUUGAAGAGCAAGAAUAGUGUUACUCUUGAAAGGCAAAUGAUAAAUGAAACUGACUUUGCUACUGAGUUCUGCUCUAUCUUGAUCUUUGGCAACUGGUUUCUCCAUUCUCCGUUCAAAGACAUUAACAUUGCUGUUGUUCUGCCAAGUGCUAGGCUGGCUGCUUGAUUUUUGAAAGUGUUUGAUGAAGUAGCUCCAUGGAAGACAAGUGUGAAAUUAAGAAAGAUGUUACGGAAGUAAUUUUCUUUGCACAGCUCAUGCUUUUGAUCUCAUGCUUUUGAUCUUGCCUUCUGUCUUCGGUUACUGUGAUCUUGCUUACAGUUUGGCUGUAUUUUGGCUUGUUCAGUUGAUAGGCCAUACACCGAUGGUGUAUCUCAAUAAUGUUGUGGAUGGCUGUGUAGCCCAUAUUGCUGCCAAGCUAGAAAUGAUGCAACCUUGCUCUAGUGUCAAAGACAGGUUAAUGACUUUCUCAUUCGUUAAUUACUAAUUGAUUGUAUUUGUUGGCGUAUGCGGGCUUAUGAUGCUAAUAUUAUAUUGGAAGUCAUGGAUUUGGUUUUCAAUGUUUUGACAUGCAGAAUUGCAUAUAGUAUGAUCAAAGAUGCAGAGGAUAAGGGCUUAAUAACCCCAGGGAAGGUAUUCAAUGGAAACUCUCCAAUUCUAAAGUUGAUUAAUCAUAAAAAUUAUGCUAUGAACUCAGUGUUUUUGUUUUCAGUCAACAUUAAUAACUUCAACCAAGCCCAUCCUGCUUCUUAAAAUUUUAAGAGUCUCUUGUGUUUUCCAAGACUUCUGCUCAAACUGGGUUUACACUGCUCAAACUGAUUGAUAAACAUGUUAACUAACAAAUUUGCCGUCUGGAUAUGUUGGAAUGUUGAUGGUUAAAGACUGUCCUCAUUGAGAUAACUAGUGGAAACACCGGCAUUGGAUUGGCCUUCAUUGCAGCAUCAAGGGGUUACAAACUUAUCAUUAUAAUGCCAUCAACAUAUAGUAUUGAGAGAAGAAUAAUUCUCAGAGCUUUGGGAGCUGAGGUUUAUCUUGCAGAUCCAGCAGGGGGCUUUGAGGAGUUUGUUAAAAAGGGUGAGGAGAUACUAAACAGAACACCUAAUGGUUAUAUUCUUGGACAAUUUGAAAAUCCCGCGAAUCCGGAGGUACUCUUUUCGUUGAUAUUACAAUACAGGUCUGCAUUUUAAAGGGUUUAUUAAUCUGUUUAUUGUCAAAUGUGUAGAUUCAUUACUAGACAACUGGCC